UGAAGUAAAAUCUUUUUCAAAAGGGAAAGACAUUUGAAGUAAAACAAAUAUACAAAACAAAGAAGAAAACAAAAAGAAAAGUAGAUAGAUACAAAACCUCCCAAUUUUGAAAAUUUUAGAAGAUUAAGAACACUACUUGAAAUUACAAAUUAAGUUUAAGAGAGUAUGUUAGAAAAUAAAUUUGAGUAGAUAAAAAAGUUUCCAAUAAAAAAAAUAAUUUGAUUUAAUUAGUUUCUAAAAGUCAAUUGAAAUAUUUUAGUUUGAGUAAUUCAGUCAUAUUUUAUUACUAGGAGUUUUUAUUUUGUUAAAUACGAGUAUGUAUAGAAAGAUGAUGGAAGAUGAUAAUUUGUUCUUAAUCUUUCUCAAUUAUUCAUCUUUUUUUGUAAAUGUUUGUGUAUUUUUUUCAACCCUACUACUUCAACAAUAAUGUGCUACUUAAUCCUGGAAGCAAAUAUAAAAAAGAUGGUUAGUUAUGGUUAUGAUGGUUUUUGCCCUUCUCAUUAAAUUUGAUAGAUGAUAAAAAAAAAUAAAAAAGAACUCUUCAUGAGUUAAUCCUAUUUACCAGCAGGAAUUAUAUGGAAUUUGAAAGUCAAAAAAUAUAUAGUUAAGCUUCCAUUGUUGAUAAUCUUGUCGUAUGAAAUUUAAUUACAAAGUCCCAUUGGAGGAUAUAUUAAACUUGUUCAACAUCAGUGUCUGAUUUUUGGUUUGAAAUAGACUUUCUGUUAAGGGUCAUCGUUGAAUGGUGGCUGUAGAGUUGAUCCAUUAUUGACUUGGUAUGUUGAGUGCUCCACUUGUGAUGUGGAGUCACCAUAUCACAAACACUACAACCCCACCAUGAUCUUUUCCUUCAAGAAAAACUUUCCCUGCUUUAAGUUCAACCAGCUUGAUCAUCAUAGAGAUGCCUUGUCUUUUACUUUGUCCAGAAUAUUCCACUUUUCUCUUAAAUUUUAUGGUCAAAAAUCGCACUAGCAUCACAUCACAGCAGUCAUGUUGCUGUGUUGCACAUUACUUGGAAAGUGGGAUUUUUUAUAAUUAUACGGUGAAUUUAAAAUUAAUUUUUAAAAAUAUAGUCUAAUAAAAAAUAUUUAUAAAUCUACGUACUUUUUGCUACUUUAAAAAACUUUCUUGUAAACAUAUAUUUCAUAAUUUUUAUAUUAAUGAUACACGUUUUAAAAAAAUUGAAUUUUCUUUUGAAAAGACCUUCCAUAAUUUUUAUAUCAACAACACACCUUAAAAAAAUUUGAAUUUACAUUAAAAGUAUUUCUUCAAAAGACAUCUUUUAUUAUUUUAUAAAAUCAAAUUUAUAUUAAAAACGUCUUUUAAAGAGAUUUUUUACAAUUUCCAUAUCAAUUGCAUGAUAAAAAAAAUUGAAUUUAUACUAGAAGUAUUUUCUUAAAACACUUUCUUCAAUUUCACAAAAUGCUCCAUCCACUUUUAAUAUAUAUAUAUAUAUAAAAGUCAAUGUAUGAUUAUGCAUUAGUAUCAGUCUAUAUAGCAUGUGCGAUUGAGCCUGUUAGAGAAUUAAAUUCAAGACAUUUAGAACCGAAAGCAUUGUUUGUCAAAGAUAGAUGGUGGAUGAUGACCCAGAAUAUUUUCCUUCUGAUCUAUGAAUGGAUGGAUGAGAAACUCUUCAUGAAUGAAUCCACCUUUGAGAAGAAACGAUGUGGGCAUAUCAGAACAUUAAAGACGGUGUGGCUUUUAGUGAAACUUGGAGUGUUGAUCAUCUUAGAAAAUUGAUUGGAUGAAAUUUCACUGAAACUCCUUUGGAAUCGACUGUGGUCCAGAAUAAAUUAUUUCCUUUGCUUUUGCUUCAAAAUGGACUCCCUUCUCUGCUAAGAGGUUCUUGUUGAAUACAAGUUGACCCAAUUUGUGACAUAUGAAGGAAAGAGUUGAGAAACUGGAAUCAUACCUUGUGAUUGAACUAAAGAUUGUUGCCCAACUCCUAUUGAUCAAAAUGACAGCGUUGGCCCAUUUUGAUAAAUAAAAAAAAACAAUAACCAUCAAGUCAUUGAAAAAGCAAUAUUUCACAUCUAUCCUCGAAGUUCACACUCUACAAAGAGACAAAGGCCCAACCAAGCUAUAGAGAUUUCCAAAAGAUACGGGUGAAAUUAAAUUUUGAUGGAUCCCACAAAGAUGUGGAGAGGACAGUUCCAUCAAGAUGAUUAUCAGAGAUGGGAACUUUUAAACGCAACUCCACCAUGAAUUGUCCUGUCCAAGGGUCACCAUCUUUGUGGUCUCACAAUGGUAUGUAUAUAUAUAUAUAUAUCAAGGCUAUAAAGAAAAGGACAACCCUAUGCUUGCUUAAUGCCAGAUAGAUUUGUCCCUCCCUGUAUAAGGCUAUUCUUGCUUAAUGCCAGAUAUAUAUAUAUAUAUUAUUAUUCGUUGUUUUGUAAACAUAGUCCUAUUAGAUAAGAUUUUAAUUGUAGAGAUAGUAUGGAACUAAUUGCUCAUUACAAAUUAAUUUGUAGUUCAUUCUCACUACAAGUUAAUUGAAAAACACACGGCUUAAUGAGGCUUUGCAAAGGAAAAAGAAAAAAGAAAAUUUUUGUAAUUGAUAACACACAGGCUUUAUAAGGCUUUGCAAAGGAAAAAAGAAAAAAAAUUAAUGAGGCUUUGAAAAGAAAAAAAAAAAAAAAAACUUGAUCGUAAGUUAGAAGGGAGUAUUACAAAGAUAAAUUCCAGCUCAAAAUUGGCUUAGAAAAUUGUAUCUUACAUUUUUGGUAAAUUAAUGAACAAAUUAAAAUUGAGUUGAAAAGGAAUAACAUAGCAAAUUAAAAUGAAAGCCAGCAAUACCAAUUAAAAAUAAUGCAGGAGUGCACACAAACAACUAAUUGGAGAGGAAUACGAAAGACAAGACCACUUGAUAGACAAUAAAGGCGACAAAAAAAUCCCAAUCAACACCACCACUUUCAACUAACAUUUCAAACGAAAGGAGCCAACAAAGACUGAUAGCUGAAAAUAAAAGUCCUGCACAUCAUAUCGAACACAAAAACUUGGUAGUCUGGAGUCUUUCUUAAUAGUUAUUGUGAAAGACCCUAUUGAAAUAUUAUACUAACAGGAAUAAAUAGAAAAUAGGGUAUAUGUAUUUUAUGAGACACCCAUAACAGCAUAGGCUGAUAAUAAUUGUAAUCGAUUUUCUUAGCCUGUUAACAAGCUAUUAUAAGUCUAACCUACAAGGAAGGACUAGUACUGAUGCCGGAAUAAAUAACCCCAAGCACAACUAUGGAGCCUUGACAAUCCAAAUACGCAUAAACCACACUUCUAGCAGGGCCUUAAGCUAUUGUUCUCCAUUUUCUAAUGGCCGGCCCAAUCUCUCUCCCUCUCUACGAAAAGUUGCCCCAGAAGAAUAUAGUCCAGAGAGUGUUGGACGUCACCAUUUUCUUCCUUCUCCUCACUCUCCUUGCUUAUCGUAUCCUCUCCCUCAAAAGCAAUGGCUUCAGUUGGCUUGUGGGUUUUGAUAGAAACAAAGUGUAGAAACUCUCAGGAAGCAACAGAACGUUGAGGAAUCUGAAGUGAUAUAUUUUAUUAAGCUUCAAAGUACUUAUUUAUACAGCUAGCUUAAAACAAAAAAACAUAAAAAAAUAGCAACAAACCUACUACCUAAGAUACUUUCUAAAGAAUAGAAACAAACCAACAAAUACUUACUAAGGAAUAGGUAUAUCUUCCACAUGACUAACUUAUUUGACUACUUUCACUUCAAUCUACUCAGCUCCAUGUCAGCAGCUCCUAGGACAUGUCAUUCAACACUCCUCCUUGUCUCUGGAGCUGCAGACUCCAAGCCUUUGCCUCAAGAACUCAUAUCUAGCUUUGGGAAAUGGCUUGGUUAAGAUAUCAGCAUUCUGACUUUCUGUUUUGCAAUAGACCAAUUGUAUUUCUCCCUCCUUCUGUACCUUUCUUAGGAAAUAGAGUUUCAACUUGAAAUGUUUUGUUUUGCCAUGGAACACCAGAUUAUUUGCAAUUGAAAUUGUAGCUUGGUUGUCUACGAGUAUUUGUGUGCUUUCCUUUUGCUCCAUAAACAAGUCAACCAUCAAUUUUCUGAUCCAGAGAGCUUGAUUCACAGCAACAGUUACAUAUUCUGCUUCUGCUGUGGAUUGAGCUAUGACUUCUUGCUUUUUGGAACACCAUGAAAAAAUAGCAGAACCGAUACCCUAAAGUACUUCUCAUGUCGUCAAUUCAACCUGCCUAAUCACUAUUUGAAUAACCAUGGAGAGUAAAGUUUUUAACUUGACAAAACCUCAUACCAUAGUCAAUUGUACCCUUGACAUAUCUGACAAUUCUUUUUGCUGCUUGAAAGUGAAUUUCACUAGCACGAUGCAUGUACCUUGAGAGUAAACUUACAACAUUCAUAAUAUCUGGUCUAGUUGUCGUUAGGUACAUCAAGCACCCGAUAAUGGUCCUGUAAAGCCUUUCAUCAGCUUUUGUAGCUCCAUCUUCUUUGCAAAACCUCUCAUUUUGAUUCAUUGGAGUUGCACUUGGAUUGCACUCUUCCAUCUUGAACUUUUUCAAGAUUUCCUUGGCAUAUUUCUAUUGACAUAUGAAGAUCUCAUUCUACUUUUGUUGUACCUCCAUGCCAAGAAAGAAUGUCAUCCUCCUAAGAUCAGUCAUCUCAAAAACAUUCUUCAUUUCCUUUAUGAAAUUGUCAAUUUGCUCCAUAUUGCUUCCUGUCACAAGUAGAUCAUCAACGUACAAAGAUACUACAAGUGUUUCAUCACCUUCUUGAAGUAUAGAGUAAAUUCGCUUAGGCUUUUUCUAUGUUGAAUGACAUGCCCUAGGAGCUGUUGACAUGGAGCUGAGUGGAUUGAAGUGGAAGUAGUCAAAUAAGUUAGUCCUGUGGAAGAUUUACCUAUUCCAUAGGAAGUAUUUGUUAGUUUGUUUCUAUUCUUUAGGAAGUAUCUAUAGGUAGCAGGUUUGUUGCUAUUUUUUAUGUUUUUCUGUUUUAAGCUAGCUAUAUAAAUAAGUACUUUGAAGCUUAAUAAAAUAUAUAGUCUAGAGAGUGUUGGACGUCACCAUUUUCUUCUUUCUCCUCACUCUCCUUGCUUAUCGUAUCCUCUCCCUCAAAAGCAAUGGCUUCAGUUGGCUCCUCGCAUUACUCUGAGUCAUGGUUCACCUUUGUUUGGGUUGUUAUACUCAGCUCCAAAUGGAAUCCAGUGGUGUACCGCACAUAUCCAGAACACCUUUUAUUUUGAUAUCUGAAUAAUUGUCUGAGUUCAACUCUUAUCAUUCAUUAAUUUAAUGUGUUACCUCAUAUAUUACCUUUUCUGCUUUGAUAUUUUGCCUUCACUUCUCCAUGUGUAUACAUAUUUCAUAUUGUUUGUCCAAAACUUUAUACUAUGAUUUUCUCAAUAGGCUUGAUGAGCUUCCUCCAGUCGACAUGUUUGUGACAACUGCAGAUCCCACUCUAGAACCGCCUAUCAUCACUGUUUACACAGUCCUCUCCUUGCUAGCAGUUGACUAUCCAGCUAACAAGCUUGCUUGAUAUGUAUCUGAUGAUGGCUGUUCACCUCUCACCUUUUAUGCUCUCCUCGAAGCAUCCAAGUUUGCUAAGCUUUGGGUUCCCCUUUUUAAGAAGUAUGGUAUUCACACAAGAGCUCCCUUUAGAUACUUUUACGAUGAGGAGGAAUCACCCCAUGAUAAUUCAACAGAGUUCAUCCGAGAAUACACAAAGAUGAAGGCGAUUCAAGCAAUUACAUUAAGUAAGACAAAUAAUUUGAGAAAAAAAUAAAAAUUGUCUUUUUAAUUGUAAUUUUUAAAAACCUAGAAAAUCUAAGUUAAACUUUUCAACAAGAGAAAUUUCAAAAAGUGUUUCUAAAGUAAGCAUAUAGGAUUCCUAAAAGAGUUAGGUGGUGUUUGUUUUUUACUUAUUUCUAAAUAGAACCUUAAUGCUUAAUAAUGUUAAAUAUUAUAUUAUUUAUUUUUGUAGUAUUUUAUUUCUAUUAAGUAUUAAAAAGUAAAGAAAAACAAAUAUGUUAUUUUUUCUGUUUAGAAAAAAUUAAGUAUUUUGGUUUUUUUAUUAAAUAAAAAGUUUAUAUUAAGUUAUGAAAAAGUAGAAAAAUAAAUAAUCUAAAUUCUAAAAAUAAAUUAUUUUAAGCAAAAAACCGAAAAAACAAACAUCCUCUUAAAUUUUUAUAUUAAGAAUAGCAAUACUUCUGCAAAACUUUUCAAGAAGUUUUUAAAAAUCCUUUUCAGGUUAGAUAUUGAAUAAUAAAUAAAAAAUUCUUUUCUUUCUCUUUUCAAAUUAUGCCUUUUUUCCUGUCAUGGUAUAUAGCAACAGUUAAAUAAAAACUCCGCAAAUAUUUGCCAUAAGUAUUGUGCAUCCUUUGUUAAACUGUCUUCAUCUCUUUGUAGGAUGAAUAUGAAGUGCUCAGAAGGAAAAUUGAAGAUGCAACCGAAAAGUCCAUACCAUUGUGAUCUUAGUUCUGAAGAGUUUGUUGCUUUCUCAGAUAUAGAAAGGAGAAAUCAUCCCAGUAUCAUCAAGGUAUAUAAAUAUCUCACUUAUUGAUCAUUACUUAAUUUCAAAAUAGACGAUGAAUCUUAAUCUAAUUUCGAGAUUAGAAAGACAGUACAACUAAUUUGUUUUUUGCAUAGAAAUCAAAUGAGUUUUCCAUCAGCCCCAACACACACACUGACAUGUUCAGUGAGUGUGUUAAUUUCUUUUUUCUUUCCUUUUUUUUUUCCUUUAAUUAGAAGAUAUUAUUUAUCAGUGUUUGGAUUAUUUUUAAAAAGACACAACAAAUUUAAAGCCGUAACCUUUUUGUUGACAUGAGAAACCGAAACAGUACUAAACGAAAUAUCACUGGGCAAAUUAAUAGUAUUCCAUAGACGUUCGAUUAGUAAUUAAUGCUGGUGCACUUGCAGCCUAAAAUAGGCUAUUGAUAUCAGAGUACUGUGCUGAAGCUUAUUCAAAUGACCGCCUGAGUAUAUCCCGUUGGACCUUCAUUUCCUCAAUACAUGGCCAAAGAUAAAUUCAAGAAUUAGAUUAGCUAUUGUUUAUGCAAGCAUGAGAUCUUACAUCAUUCUAAAAUCUUAAAGUGAAAGCGAUAUUAUUCUUCCCUACUGAGUAAUAUUACAAUGUGAUGUUCCAUAUCGAAUAAGAGAGAAAGUUUCUAGUACUAUAUAUGUAGAGACUCCUCUUAACCAAAUAGACGCGUUUUAAAGCAAUGAGGGUCUCUUUGGGUCCAAAAUGGACAAUAUCUACAUGGUUGGAUACAGGUUGUUACAAAUGGUAUUAGAACCGAUCCUCGACCUCGGUGUGGGGUUUGUUUGGGUGUUCGUUUGUUUGGCCCCACAAUCCCAUGGGACACAACGAGAACAUUGUGUCUGCAUGGGGGGGGGGGGGGGGGGGGGGGGGUUUUUUAAUUUUUCCCCCGAAAAGGGGAAAAAAUUCCCAACCCCAAAUUUUUAAGGGCCCCCUUUAACCAAAGGACCGUUUUUUAAACCCAAAGAACCCCUUUUGAUUAAAAAAAAAAAAAAUUAACAUGGGGGGGACAGGGGCUUUAAAAAAGGGUUUAAAACCCAUCUUCCCCCCCCGAAUGAAAUUUUUUUGGGCCCCCAACCCCAAAAAAAAAAAAANNNNNNNNNNNNNNNNNNNNNNNNNNNNNNNNNNNNNNNNNNNNNNNNNNNNNNNNNNNNNNNNNNNNNNNNNNNNNNNNNNNNNNNNNNNNNNNNNNNNGGGGGGUGUUUGUGAUGUUCUACAUCGGAUAUGGGAGAAAGUUCCUGACGCUAUAUAUGUAGAGGCUCCUCUUAACCAAGUGACGCGUUUUAAAGCCAUAAGGACUCCUUUGGAUUCAAAGUAGACAAUAUCUACAUGGUUGGAUACAGGUCAUUACAAAUGGUAUUAGAGUCGAUCUUCGACCUCGGUAUGAGAUUUGUUUGGUCCCGCAAUCCCAUAGGACAAAACGAGGACAUUGUGUCUUCAUGGGGGAGUGUUUGUGAUGUCCCACAUCAGAUAGGGGAGAAAGUUCCUAGUACUAUAUAUAUAGAGGUUCCUCUUAAUCAAGUAGACGCGUUUUAAAGCCGUGAAGACCUCUUUGAGUCCAAAGCGGACAAUAUCUACAUGGUUGAGUGUGGGUUGUUACACACAAUCUUUUAUAUCUUUUUCCAUAUAAACAAACAUAUAAGCUUUGCUUCCAGAACCAAUAAUACUACGACCAAAAUGGAGCAUUUAUUGAACAAUUCACACUGAUUUAGAUUGCUUCUUUGUAGGUUAUAUUGGAGAACAAGGAGGGCCUCGUGGAUGGAUUGCCACAUCUAAUCUAUGUAUCCAGAGAGAUGUGCCCAAAGCAUCCGCACCAUUACAAAGCUGGUGCACUGAAUGUUCUGGUAAACAAUUUCCUUGAACUAGUACUAUUCAUACCAUGUCUAGUAUCUAAUUAGUUUUCCCUGGUUGUUUUAUAAACAGACUAGAGUUUCAGGAGCAAUGACAAAUGCUCCUUUCAUCUUGAAUGUAGACUGUGAUAUGUACGCCAACAAUUCACAGAUUGUUUUUCAUGCAAUGUGUUUGCUCCUUGGUUGUAAGAAUGGACAAGACUUUGCAUUUGCUCAAUCUCCACAAAUCUUCCAUGAUGGUUUAAAGGAUGACCCACUCGGAAAUCAACUAGUAGCUACGCAGAAAGUACGUUAAAUAUUCAAAAUCUAAAAAUUGAUCUCUUCCAUACUAUAAAGCACAUGAGCUAUUUUUGGAUGGGAACUGUGAAGAUUUUUUGCUGAUAGAGAAACUUCUUUUGUUUUUCUUAUUAAUAUGUUUCAAUCAGUAUUUGGGUGAAGGAAUAUCAGGGCUUCAAGGACCUUACUAUUCUGGUACUGGAUGUUUUCAUCGGAGAAAAUUUCUCUAUGGGUUAUGGCCAGAUGGCUGCAUGGAAACCGGAGGAAGAAGUCCUAAUUGUGUGGCUGGUAAGAAAAUUAAUCUACUUUUGACAAUCAUCUUUUAUUACAUUUUUCUUCUUGUUUUGUUGGGAUUACAAAUAUUGUAGAAACCUCUGCAUGAUAAUUUUUCUAUACUUUUUGGUAGGCAAAUUAACUGAUGAGGGAUUACGACAAUCUUUUGGACAUUCAAAGGAAUUCUCUAAAACGGUUGAAAGGAUUUUAUCAGGGUUGAGUGGGAAGGCCGAUUGUCCAUAUGAUCUUUCAAGUUCUGCAGAGGCAGCAAACCAAGUUGCAGAUUGUGGCUAUGAGUGUGGCACUAGUUGGGGUACAAAGGUGAGUUGUAAAAUAAUUUGAACAACCAAAAAUGCUUGAAAGCAGAAUGGUUUGGGACUUAAAAGAUUAGGGUUAAAAGGCUUUUACCUAAGAGACUGAACAAAAGACUUCAUAGCAUAUUUUUUCUCUAGAACAAAAUACACCAUUGAUGAAAGUUUAAUGGUAACCUCUAUCACAACAUAGCCAGUAUACAGUAUUUUCGCAAAUUGACGUAUUGGCCAUGCGGGCCGUGAUCUCAGAAUGGUUGGAUAUAUGGAUACACUAGCGAAGACGUUCUUACAGGACUGAAGAUUCAUGCAAGAGGUUGGAGAUCUGCCGAGUGCAAGCCUGAUCCACCUGCAUUUCUCGGCUGUUCUCCCUCAGGAGGACCUGCUUCAUUGACCCAGCAAAAGAGAUGGGUCACAGGCCUCCUCGAGAUCCUGUUCAGCAAGAAUAACCCAUUCAUUGCUACCCUCACUGCCAAGCUCCAAUUCCGCCAAUGCCUCGCAUACAUGUACAUUCUUUCAUGGGGUCUACGGUUGAUUCCUGAGCUUUGCUAUACUGCUUUGCCAGCAUAUUGCAUCAUCGCCAAUUCACAUUUCUUGCCCAAGGUGAGGAGAACCUACAACCUUCCAAUUUCUUCACAUAUCAUAAUUACUUCACUUAGUUUUCUGUGGUCUAUAUAUGCUGGAUUUUCAUUUGACGGUUCUUAUAUAUGAUGGUUAUUUCUCAUAUUUGUCUCAUUCUUGAUCUGAUAAGUCCAUUAUUCUAUGUUGGCAUAUACUUUGGCCUAUUUAUGGAUCAAAAUUGACCUAACAAUGAAAUGUCCAACUCAGAUAUAGUUUUGUGACCCUGGUUUGAUAAAGGUUAAUCUAUGAAAUAAUGUCAAGAUAUCCUAUGGCGACUCGUCAUUUGAAUGGCCAGCUUGACGCCAAGGUAUAGAAGUUAAUAUCAUAAAAAACCGUCUUGAAUGGCUAGCAUUUUGCGCAGGUAUAGAUGUUAACAUAUAUAAUUUGAAUCUAGUUAGUCCAACAUUUGUCAAGACAUAUAUUGGUGGCAAUGAGUCUACAUAUCUUUUGCUUAGACUUAGGCCUUGUUUCUGAUAACUUCUUUCUUCUUUAAGUAGAAGUUGAAUCGAAAUUGAAGUCGAUCGUAAUUCUCCAAGGAUAAUAUUAAUAUAAUAAAAGUUCCAUUAAACAUCAAAUAACUUCUUAUAUAAACUAAAAUAGUACUUCUAUGAGAAAUAAUAUUUUCCUUACUUUCAUUUAAGCUAUCUUAAGUCAUAUAUUCUUUUAACAAAUUCAUAUAAAUGUGUACAAAAGUUUUUAUACAUUGAAAUUUACAAAGAACUUUGGCUUCUCACAAGCCAUUCCAGAUAAAGCCUUAAUAUAUAUGGAAUCCACUUAGAUAAAAGUUACUUAUAGAAUCACCAUCAUCAGCCCAUAUAACGUAUUGAAGUAUUAAUGUUGCCUCUUAGAACAAUCUUGAGUGAACUUGCUUAAAAUAGUUAAUAAAAUUUUAAGUUCAGAAACCUUUUCAUGUAAUAUGUUAACCAAAAGCAUCUCUGGCUCCAAAUCUGUGGAAAAUAGUUUUUGAACUAUAAAUCUUAUUUCUAGUUUAAAGUGUAUAAUUAAUAUAAUUAUAUAAUCUGCAAGGUACUUUUAAAUUAAAUUCUAUCAAGAUCUUAAAAUGUGCAAAUUCAUGCAUGCAUGCAGGUUGAGGGAACCAGCCUUCUUGAUACUAGCAGCUCUCUUUGCCAUUUACAACCUUCACUCUCUACUUGAAUACUGUAGAAUUGGGCUCUCAAUCCGAACAUGGUGGAACAACCAAAGGAUGGGAAGAAUAAUCACCAUGACUGCAUGGUUUUUUGGAUUUUUAAAUGUCAUACUGAAGCUCUUGGGCUUGUUCGAGGCUGUCUUUGAGGUUACACAAAAGAACCAAUCUAGUGCCCCUGGCGAUGACAACCACAAGGAUCUGGUCGAUUCACAUUCAAUGAGUCCCCAAUUUUUGUUCCAGCCACUACUCUUGUGUUGGUGCACCUGGUGGCAAUGGUUAAAGCCCUGUUAAACCUAACUCAUGGAAGGCAUGAAUCAAGGAUAGGAGAGGUGAUAUGUAAUGUGUGGGUGUUGUUAUGCUUCUUACCUUUUCUGAAAGGGCUGUUCAAGAAAGGAAAAUAUGGCAUACCCUCAUCCACCAUAUGCAAAUCAGCAGCAGUUUUUGUGCACUUGUGCAAAAGGGUCUCAAUAGCUUGAGAUAAUGGAUAGAAUACCUUGAGAUAUCUUUGCUAUUUUCAUGUUUUGCAGUACUUCAUAUGAAUAAAAUGGAUUUAAUUUUACAUCAUAGAAUUUAUGUUUCAUGCUCGAUAAUUCUUUGAGUCCCCUAGCGGAAGGACAUUAAAUUUGUAAUAAUCCAUGAGUAUCAGGAAUCAAACACAAGAAAGAUGCGUAAGGCUAGUUGAGAGGGGUGUAGAAGUCGAAGCUUAUGUGUGGUCUGAUAGUGGAGAUUUUCUAAAAGCAAGAUAAAACAAAACAAGAGUUGGUGAUGUAAACAUUGAUACCAUCAACAUUGAUAUCCAUUUUUAGGGAUAUGAUUGUACAAGGUGCUAUUGCAGUGAAAAAAAUCCCUAUAAUGGACAAUCUUGGAUAAAUGAUGACUAAGUUUGUUAUUACAAUUAAGUUUAUAUAUUGCUUAAACUUAAUUGGUAUUAGUAGCAUCUAUAGACCAUUUGAGGGUGUGGAAGUGAAGUAACUUGGAAGACUUUUCAGUUUGUUUGAACCUUGGGAAUUUGAGCCAAGGUAGAAAUUGUUGAAAAGUGUCUCAAAUUUUAUUUUUGAGUUAAUUGGAAAGUUAUAAAUAGUUUCCUGAUAAAAAAAUAUUCUUGUAAGUGGGUUUCCUAUUAUUAUAAAGGAAAUAUCCUAUUGCGAGAUCUUCUUUUAGGAAAAAACAUCUUUGAAAAUUAUUCAUUUAGUUUCUUAUAUGGAAUCUUUCUAUAUAACUAGGAAAAUAUAUAUAGGAAGAGAUUUUGACCAAAAUAAAGAGUCUCUUUUUGGGUGUAAUUGGGACUUUAAGAUUUGAGAGCUCUAAAUUGAAGAUUUCUAAAACAUCAGAAGAUUCCAAGCAUAACAAACUAGUACUAAAGCUUUUGCUGACACAACAAUUAAAAGGAGAGCAAACAAGCAAAUGGGUUUUGGUGGAAAAUAUAUAUGUGCUUAGUAUUUUGAUGAGAACUUGUGAUAAGGUGUAAGUCACUAUAUUCAAAAUCAAAAUACCAACUUUAAUCUUUAAUUAUUGCUUUCAUUAACUUCUUAAUUUUUAAUUACAUAAAUUUCAAUAACAUGAGGAGAUGAUGAACAUACAUAUAGAUUUUUUGCAAUGUUAUUUCUUUGGUUAACUUCUUAAUUUUUAAUUACAUAAAUUUCAAUGACGCCAUGGUGAAAGUGUAUAUAGAUUUGUAUGAAACAUUGCAAAAUUCUUUGCUAUUUAUUUUGUGCUAACUUAGAAAGAUCAAUUACAAUUCAAUUACUAUAGUUCUCAUAGAAAGCUAUUUCUUUGAAAUUAAUCUUCAAGUAAUUAUGACAGAAUAAAUUUCUCUAAAAUUAACUCUUGACCAAAGUAUAUAAUCUUACUAUUAAUACGUAGAUAGAUAUGAAGAAAGUCUUAAGAUGAUAUUAUUAAAUGACAUUUUUACCUAUGAUUCUCAAUAAAAAUAAAAAUAAAAAUGAUUUUUAAGAUAAAGGAAAAUAUUACUAAUAGUUGAAAUAUUAGAUAAAAGUAUAUCAUUAAAAUUCAAAAUUAUUUGACAUUUUUACCUAUGAUAACAAAAAAUAAUUUCCAUAGUAAGUGGAAUAUUAUUUACAAUUAAUCUAGCAAAAUAGAAGUAUAUAACAACUACAAUAGAAUGAUUACUAUUACCAUUCAUUGUAAAAAUGGGUUUAAAUUGAGAAUACAUGAACAUGGAACCACACACAGAUAAAUGUGAUUCAAUAAUUAGUUUUGAUAUCAUUUCCACAACAAUAAAAUAAAGUGAUAUUACUGGACAUUUACUUAAAUAAAACUAUAUUUUUUAAUAUUUUCUAUAUUAUAAAGUGACUAAUACAUUUUAUAUAUUUUAUAUAAUCAUCUUACUAUGAUAAAAAUUUAUGACAUAUAUUUAAGAGUAUAAAAGUACGGCUGUAGAUUUUUUUUUUUUAAUUAUUUUUCUUGUUUUACUUUUUAUGUUUGUCUUUUUUAUGUCACAAUAUUGAGGUGUGAUGGCCUUUAUUUUUUAUGUAUCAUUAAUUUUUUAGUUUUUCACAUUCUUGAAAACCUUUUAUUUAAUAAAAUAGUUAAAUUCUCACUAUCUAAAAAUAUUUUUUUUAUAAAUUAUUAGCUUUAAAUUAAUUUAUUAAUUAUAUUUCACUAUCAUUUGAUGUUUGUUGCAUAAAUAAAAUGAUAAUCUGGGUCAUGGGACCAUCAAAAUAAAAAUACGUUUAUAAACUCUAAUCUCUUUUAAUAUUUCAAUUUGAAAUAGAAACUCUUAAAUUUGUGUGUAUUUGGAUAAAUUUAUCUCUUAAAGGACUUUUUGCAAAAGCGUUAUGUGGCGAUGUGCACUUGCAAUGAUAAAAGGUCAAAUAUUGAUGUAAUUUUAAGGUAAUUGUAUAUCAUUAAGUUAUUUUUUAUUAUGUGUUAUUAGUUAUAAAACACACAUAUGUUCUAAUAUGUCUAAGGGUCUCCAAAAAGCCCGCGGGCCGCGGCCCGGCCCGACGGGCUAAAGCCCGGCCCAAGCCCGGCCCGAGCCCGUUUAUGGGCGGGCCGGGCCGCGGGCCUAAAUUUAGGCCCGACGAGCCGGCCCAGCUCGGCCCGUAGGCCCGCCUUUAAUUUUUUUUUAAAAAAUAAUAUACUUUAUUUUUAUAUAUAUAUAAGUAAUUCAUUUAAUAAGUACAAAAGGAAUGUAGCUUAAUUGGUUAUAGCCUUAAAAUUUAAGCUUGAGGGGAGGGGUUCGAAUCCCUCCUUCUCCCUUCCUUUAUUUAAAAGCCAUUUUGGCUUAUUUAAAAAAGCCCGCGGCCCGGCCCGCUGGCCCGGCCCGCCCAGCCCGGCCCGCCCAGCCCGUCCCCCAGCCCGCCAGCCCACUAGCCCGUGGGCUUAUAGGCCGGGCCGCGGGCCUAGCAUUUUAGCUCGGCCCGGCCCGGCCCGCCCGUUGGAGACCCUUAAAUAUGUCAAACUAAAAGUGAAAAUGAUCAAUAAAUAUAUUUGACUUAUUAAUUAAGUUUCAAAUUUCAGGAGAAAAAAAUAUAAGAAAAGUAAAGCGAGGGAUAGGAUAUAUGAAUAGGUCUAAGCCUUUAUAUGUUCGACGGAAUGCAAACACCAAUAAAUAAUAUUAGAUACAACAUAAAUGUUAUAUUUAAAAUAAUAAUUGAUUUUAUUUUAAUAUAAUUCUAAAUCAUUAUUAUAAAUAAUAAAAUAAAUUACUAAUAAUCAUAACAAUUUCAUAUUGUAUUACAAUAAUUAAUUAUAUAUAAAUAAUUUACAACCUUUUACUAUUUCAUUUUGAAUGUAACCAUUCUUGUAUAGAAGUUUCAUGACUAACAUAGACCUCAAUUAGAUGCAAAAUCAAUUUUUAAAAAAAAAGUUUAAUAUAUUUUACCCCCUCAGUCUAUCUCAUGUUUUACACAUUUCCCUUUUAGGUUUAAAAUCAAACAUAUUGAACCACAAACUUCUUAAAUUGCAACACUCUAUCUUUUUUGUUGGAUGGUAUUAGUUUAAAUGGACAAAAAUCUCACGUGUUGUGCACAUGACUAACUAAUGAAGGGUAGACGUGUAAAUUCCCAAACCCAAAAAUCCCUAAACAGCUCUUCCUCUCUCAAUCUUCAUCUUUGUUUUCGUUUGUAACACAUUGCACCCCUAGUCCUUUUUUUUUUUUUUUUUUUUGACAAUAAUGCUUAGUCACAAAAAAUAAUAACUCUUUUACUUUCUUAUAACAUAUUUUAGAACAACUAUUCUAAAAUCUCAAAUUAUUUGUAUGUGUGUAUAUGUACUUUUCUUAUAAAAUUUUUUACAUCACAAGUGAUUAAACCACACAAAUUUAUAAUAGAUAUAGGAUUAUUGUUUUUUUUUACAUAUAUAAUACAUCACAUAUGUAUUUACUAUUAUAGUAUAUAAUAUUUAAUCAUGAAAAAUUAAAUAGAUAAAUAAAAAUGAUAUUAGAGAUUUAUAUCUAUUUCAUGAUGAAUAAAUAUCAUGGUAAUAGCAUUUGUUAUUUUGCAAUGAUAAAAGUUAAAACUUAGGAAAAUUUAAAAUUUGAUUUUUCAUUUUUGACAUAAACAAUUUUAUUUUAAAUUUAAAAUCUUCGUUUCUUUGACAUUUCUUUUUCUUUUUUAAAGAUAAUAAUGUUUGUAUGCAAAUAAGAAUUGAUAACGAAUGAAAAUUAACUUGAAAUCUUAAUUUCUUUUCUCAAUCUUUUACUGUUUUAUCGAUAUAAUUAUGGAAAAUAAUUUUAAUUUGAGAUGAAUGUAAAGAUAGUUUUAAUUUUGAAUUCAAUUAAAAGUACAAUAUAUCUUUUUUAACAUCAAGUGGUUUAUAGAUGAGAUGACAAAAAAAAGUGGUUAGAGGGUGAAAUAUCAUGAGCUCAAAUCAUAACAAUUACAAGUUAAUACUAUGAUCAUUAAAGGGUUAAAAUGUCUUCCCUAUAAACCUAAGAUAGGUGUUGGGACAGUUGUUAUGACUUUAGAAAUUGAUUCAACCAUAAAACAUUCCUAAAGCAUAAACAAUAAAUUAUCAUUAAAAAAUCUUUUAUCACAAAACUAGAUAAAACAUGACCAAUAAUUUAUUAUUAAAAAAUCUUUAGCAAUAAAACUAGAUUUGUCACUAAAGAUAUCUCUUUUGUGAUGAAAACUUUUGUCAAAAAGAAUAUGGAUUUUGUGAUGAAACUAUAUAAUUGUCAAAAAAAAAAAAAAAUUAAUGACAAAAUGGUAUGAUCUAAUGGCAAAAUUAUUUUAUUUUCUAUAAUUUUUUAUUUAUUUAUUUGCAUCAUAAAAUUGUGAUAUUCCAUGACAAUUCCAAUUUCAUCACCAAAACUUAAUAUUUUAUGACGAAAUAGAAGAUUUGUAAAUCAUGAAUUUUAGUGACAAGCUUUUGUCAAUGAACCUUGUCACAAAAAAAUUUCUUACAAUACCCUAUUAGUGACAAAUUAUUGUUUAUUUAUGACAAACACUUUUGUGGCAAAAACUAAUAUUUGUUGUAGUGCACAGAAUAAAGUCGCAUACCUCUAAAGAGGUUUAUAUAGGCUUCCCUGUGGACUUAAGUAAUUUGAAUCCAUGUUGGGUUUGAGCCACUAAUCUAACCUACUUGGGUCAUAAUUAAUGAAGUAACCAUAUUUGGCUCCAAUAAAUUAAUCAACCUAGUCCAAAAAGACCAUGCAUGCUCUUUUGCACAACCUUUUAUUUUUACCAAAAUGUCUUUAUGCACAUAUGUUAACAAGGAACCUAAAUAUCCCUUAAUAAAUUUGUCAUCAAGGAAUAUGACUUAAGUGAUGCCCAUAAGGACCCAUAAGAAAAUAUUGGCUUCCUCAUAAUUAGAUUUUUAAGUUGACCAACACGUCGCAACAGAUAAUCAACUACACUCUAGUAUUCAUAAUCUAACAAGGUAUACGUUAUCAAUCUCUCAAGAUUAUCUUUUCAAUCAUUGAGAUUCAAAUUCUCCUAUUAUGUGAUCAAUUGACAUAGUCUAGCUCUCCAAGAGUAUACAUCGAAUUCAAAUUAAGAAAUUACUAUGAUGAUAGUUUUAUUGAUCACAUGUUCUUAGGAUCACUCAAACACUAUAAUAAAUAUCAAUUUUUAUCAUGAAAGUGAUUGUCAUAGAUAAACAAUAAUUUGUACUAUUAGUGCAUUAUGACAAAAAAAAUAAUAAUUUGUCAUUAGGUUUGUAGACACAGUCGCAUCAAUGAAAGUUAUGAUCCGCAAAUUUUCUGUUUCAUCAUGAAAAAUUAAGUGUUGGUGGUGAAAUUAGAACUGUCAUUGAAUAAUCACAUUUUAUGAUGUGGAAAAUCGUCAUAGAAAAUAACAAUUUUUUUCACUAGAUCCUACCAUUUUUUCACUAAAAGAUAUAUUUUUUGUGAAAAAAAAUGAUAUAAUUUUGUCACCAAACAUAUAUUUUUAUGAAAAAAGCGUUCAUCAUGAAAGAGGUAUCUUUAGUGACAAAUAUAAUUUUGUAGCAAAAGAUUUCUUUUGAUGAUAAUUUAUUGUUAUCACUUUGGAAUAUUUUAUAAAGCUCGAGUCAAUUUCUAAAUUCAAGAUGUUAAUAUUAACUUGCGAUUCUUGUGAUUUGAACUCAUGACCUUUCACUCUAAAAACACUUAUUUUAACCAUAUCAUCGAUAAACCAAUUGAUGUUUAAAAAUGUAUUCUAUAUUUUUAAUUGAAUUCAAAAUUAUAAAUAUUUAUACAUUAAUCUUAAAUUAGGAUUAUUUUGCAUAUUCAUAUUAAUGAGGUAAUAAAAGGUUGAGAAAAAAAAAAUAAAGAUUGCAAAUCAAAUUUCAUAAAAUUAUCAAUUCUUAUUUGCAUACAAACAUUAUUAUCUUUAAAAAAUGCUAUGAAUAUGGAACUAACUGGGGUACAAAAGUGAGUUGCAAAUAAUUAGGACAACAAGAAUAGUACCUUAAUAAAAUCCACGCGUCCUCUUUUACCUUUUGUUUAUUACUUUUUCAUUAAAUAGGGAAUUAUUUUUUUGAAAAAAAAAAUGUUCACUAAAAGUUACAUCAACUCUACUAUGGGCCACUCUAUAAUGGUUUUUGCUUCCUGAUGUUUUGGAUACAACAAUGUAAGAUCAAACUGGUUGGCUCUAUGGAUCCACAACAGAAGACAUCCUCACAGGAAUGAGGAUACAUUCAAAAGGUUGAAAAUCCAUUUGAAUUCUUUCAUGGGGUCUACAGUCAAUUCCCGAGCUUUGCCAGCAUAUUGCAUCAUGGUCGGCUCACAUUUCUUACCUAAGGAGAUGAAAACAAAAACCAUUUAGCUUUCUACAUAAAUAACAUUCUUACUUCACCAACCGUUGUUUUAUUAUCAUUUGAUGGUCCUAUUGAAAAUAACUUAAUUCUAAAUAUUUUCUACUUUAAAAAUGUAACUGGCCACCAUACCUAAAAUCUCAAGCUAGUAAUGUAAAAAAAAUGUGCCCAAUGAUGUAGGUCCAAGAGCUAGCUGUGUUGAUACCAAUAUCUCUCUUUGUCAGUUACAACUUUGACACUAUUGGAACAUAGUAGGGUUGGGCUUUCAAUCCGAGCAUGCUGGAACAACUUAAGGAUGGGGAGAAUAACCCUAGUGACUUCAUGGUUAUUUUGAUUUUUCAGUGUCAUUCUAAAACUCCUGGGUUGUUGGAGACCGUCUUUGAAGUUACAAAAAAGGAUGUUGGCGGGUUCACCUUUUAUGGGUCCCUGAUUUUUGUUCCAGCCACUACUCUUGUGUUGUUGCAUAUGGUAGCAGUGGUUGUUGUUGAUACCUAGUCAAUGGAGAAUUGAUUCCUUCUUCGAAGUGACAGUGGAAGCUUCUAUUCAAACACUAGAAUCUGGACUUCCUGCUUUCCUGCACAAAGAUGUUCAAACGGGUUGUUUGGACACACCCUCCGAAGCUUAAGUCAGAUUGGAAGCCCUUAGAGAGAGAGAAAGAGAGAGUUGGUUCGAGAACUUAUCUCCUCCCCCUGUUUUAUUGUAGUAGGGUUUUUAUAAUGUUCCGCGGUGAAAAGAGGGCUCAGCGGUGCUGAGUUAGCCCUGGUAAUGAAGAUUGCAUAGUAGUGAUAGGGCAAUCAUUACAUUUAUAGGGCAAUUGGGGGCUAUGUUAGGCAGCACGUCAUGAUAUAGCUUGUCAUUCCUCCAACCUUGCACCUAUCGAGGUAGACGUAAGGAUGAGAAGAGUCCCAUCAGUCAAUCUGGUGUUAGUUGGGCAGGGUCUAGCAUAUCAGAAAAGAUUUGAGGCUAUCAAAGAGGUGAGGGUUGCUUGGCAGCGCAAAUGAUCUAGGCAAGAUGCCCCAGAGUACCUUGAAGGUUGUCCGAACAAUGAUGAAAGAUGUGACAUGUGGCCUAACCGAAAGAAUGACACGUGGAUAGACACGUGGAAGUAUUCGUGGGUGGACACGUGGGAUAAGGUCCCUACAAUGCCCUCUUCAACACUUGCACUUGUGUCCGGGCAAGAAUGGAUGGGUUGAAACUGUCCUCUGGAGUCCCCCAGUGUGAGUAUGACACAUGUCAACCAUUUAUUGGGGGACACUUCCUCAGAGGCGUUCUGCUAGGUGGCGUGUCGCUUCGGGUUAUACAGUUUGAUGGCUAUCUUUUAGGAUCCCUAGGGUUUUGGUUCCUUAUAAAUAAGGAAACCUUAAGCCUUUUGGGUUUUUACUUGGACGUUUUUUAUUCUAAAAGCUUUUCCUUAUGCCAUUACCCUUCUGUAUUCUGUGUUUUCUGGUCACCGUCGUUCUAUCGCCCUUUCAUUCAUUAUCUCGGACAUCUCUUGCAUCUUGUUCUAUAGCGACUCCAGUGGCUGUUCAACUUCUCGAUAGCCUCGUCAUUUUCACCAGUUUUGGUUCAGAAGGCGUAUCUUUUUCCAGCAGUGGUCCUUGAGACUUGUGGUAAGAUUUCUUUCCCAUAUUGGUUCUCUGUCUUUUCUAUUUGAUUGGUUGUAGUUAGGGAUUUGUUGGAUUUUGCACUGUUUGUUUGGUAGUGGUGUAUAGAAUGAAUUAUGCGUAGUUCUUUUCUAGUGAGAGAGGCCAUUGUUGGAGAUUAAUGUGGUCCUAAUAGGAUUGAGAGUGUUGUAGUUGGGUCAUGGUCAAAUGGGGAGAUCCUUGGAUGGGGUCUAUCCUAUAGGUUGAGCUCAGGCUCUGCCCGGUUACAGGCUUUGAACAAGUGUAGGUUGGCCUUUAUACAUCUAAGGCAUUGUUUUGAGAACAGGAGGGUUGGGUGACUACUCUUUAAUAUUCGGUCCUUGUGCUGUGCAGGUUCUACUCGGCCCACCAUAUUAGAAUGGCAUCUCGAGGGGGUGACACUUCUACCAAUGCGACUGGUAAGGACAAGAAGAAUGUUCGACCAAGAGAAGUUGUCGGACGAACACAGUCGAGGAAGUCUAUUGAACAACUUAAUGUACGGGAGUUCAGGGAGCGCUUUCGUACUCCGAUUAGCAUUCUGAUUCGUUUUUUGAGUAGUGACCCAGUGUCAACCAAGCAGGAGCCCGAUGCCAUUGUUUUUAGUAAGGAGCACUUCAACGUCAGGUUUCAAUUCCCUCUCAUUUCCCUGUUCAAGCAGUUUCUUCACUUCACCAAGAUUCCUCCAGUCUUCCUCCACCCAAACGUAAUUAGGGUACUGAUGGGGUGUAGCAUUCUGAGUAUGCCAUACCAUUUGGACCUUUUCUUACUAGAGGUCCUAUUUAUCUACACCAUCAAGAUAAGCGGAAAGAAAAUUUUUAGCUUAUUUUCUCAUAUUCCAUCUCUUCAACUGGUGACCAGACUCCCAGAUUCCACCAAGAGAGCAACUAAAGGAUGUGUUGUUGUUUCAGGCCCUUGGUUGGCCCAUAUGAGCAUCUAGAUAACCCAUUUGAGCCUCGUUGUUCGUUAGGGAUUUUGGGUAUAGUAAACCGUCGUACUCUUGCUUUGUAAUUCAUAAUUAUAGGAUUGCUGCUAACGUACAUUAUCUGGUGUACUAUAGAAAAGAUGAGGAGAGGUCGACUGGUAGAGUGGGUGGACAAGACUUUUUUUCGACCGGCUGAACAAAUUAUUCAUGAUUUCUGCUAGAAAACGGAAUCAUGAGACUCUAUUGAUUGAAGAAAAUUUACUGAAAUUGGUUCGAGAUCCGGUGUCAUACUUCAUUUCUUCCUCUCUUCCACAUUUUGCACCCAGAGUGGUGGUGCCCAACAAACAUUAUGUGGUGAAUGAUCUUCCUUUUUAUGCAGAGGCCCGGGCAACACACAAGAGGAAAAUGCUGGACCGGUUUGCCCAAAGAGAGAAGAAACACUAAGAUGGGACUCUGAGACAAGCUCUGGGUAGGAUUCAUCCAACCACCAGUUCUAUUGCUCGUCCUCCUCCUAAGAAGAAGUCCUUUCUUCAGCCUGCCGAGAAGACCUUGGAUUUAUCUCCGCUCACAUCCUCUCAUUUGUCUCCUUCAUCCUUAGCAAAGGUUGGCGUCGAUCAAGGCUCAUCCGACUCGCCUUCUGUGGGGGUCAGUUCGGACCAGGAGAUUGAGCCAACUGUGUCCUUCAUCAACCUAGAGCCAGAAGAAGAAGAAGAAACAGAAGAUAUGGCUCCAAAUCUGAGGGUCGGCUUCAAGGAAAGGCAUUGUAAGCGCAUAUUCAAGGCACUUCUGGCCAUACUCCUGCCUGUUAAGAAAAGUCGUCCGGAGGCCUCUCGUGAGGAAUCGGCUCCGGACACUCCUACGGGGCAUGUGCCCCCUUUUGAAGCAGCCCAACCCUACUUAGAGUUAAUAGUGGGGCCUCCUUCAGAUGACGCUUGUCUAGUAGGAGACGAGGUUCCUACAGCUGCUCCGAGCAGCAAAAAUAAGGGAAAAGAGGCUUUGGCUAUUCCUUCGAGCUAGGAGGAUGUCGUAACGUUACUAAAGACAGUUCCCUACUUUACGACGCUUGAGCUCCUAACUUUAGGCAUGAACGAAUUCUUUCCAUUAUCUCAUCGCCAUUUCGUCAACCUAGGCGGCAUCCCUCAUAUGGUCGGCAUGGUUUAACCCUCAUAUGUUGUUCUAGACUUUGAACUUCGAUGCACUUAUCUUCUGCUGAAGUACACUACUGAAGAGAUGGUGAAAGUGGUAGGCUUUAUUCUUCUUCAGCCCAAGUUUGCCUAAUCAUUCUGGUUCUGACAUCUAUUUUACUAUUGUUUCAAGGAGAUGGCUGCUAUUCAUAACUUGAUGCGAUAGUGAAGCUCACUUCUCAAAUGGUUAGAGAUUGCGGAGAGUAUGCCGGUAUUUCUUACCCAACAGGUAGAUACCAAUGAAGAACUCCACUCUCAACUUGGUCGGGUAUAGAGCGAGUUGGUCGCAGCUCGGAUAGCAACCGUUGAUAUAGAGAAAGGUAUGAGGCGGCUACAAGAGGAGACAUAGGCGGCGAAGUCUAAGGCUUGCCGGAUGGAAGAGGAAAAAGACGCUGUAGAGGCCAAAUGCAAAGGCGCUGAGCAAGAGAGUGAUCACUUGAAGAAGGAGCUCGAAGAGUUUUAGGCAGCCUCCGAGGCUCAAAAGAAACAACUUGAGGAGCUUCGAGUCGGAUUCACUACUGAGAAGGAGGCACUAACUAAAGAUUAUCAGAAGUAGGUGGAUGAGAUGUUCUUAUUCGGCUAUCAGUGCUGCUUGAGGAAGAACGACAUCACGCAAGACAUCCCCACCUAUCCUUCGGAUUACGAGGAAGACACAGUAGUAAGUGGUCCCACCCUAGGAGAUAAAGAUACGGAUGCUCCUGGUCCCUUUACUGGGCAAUGACUUUCAUAUUUUUCAUUUCUUCCAUCCGAACUUGUAAUGAAUUUUUCAUUUAUCGAUAUACACAUUCCACGCUUGGAGCAGGGGUGUUAUGUCUAGCAUUUACAGAUAGUAAGCCCCUGAAUCUCCAGCUUCAGAUACAAUGUAAGGUCCUUCCUAAUUUUCUUGGAGCUUCCCGACUUCCUGUUCAGCCGUAUUCUCAAAGACUUUUUUUAGGACAAGAGUCCCAACCAUGAAGGUAUGUAGUCGGACCUUCCAAUUGUAGUGGGCAACAACUCGUUGCUGGUAAGACGCCAUCUAGAUGGCUACGUUCCCUCUUGCUUCAUCUGCCCAAUCUAGGUGUCUUUCAAGUUCCGUACAUUCGUUUCUCUGGCCUUGAAUGGUAAUCCGAGCUGUGGGCAUGCCUAUCUCUAUUAGGAUAAUCGCAUCCAUCCCAUAGGGUAGGGCAAAAGAGGUGGUUCCCAUUGGUCGUCCGGGUGUUGUCCGAUAGGCCCACAAGACUCUAGGCAGUUCAUCAACCCACAUUCUUUUGGCUUUCUCCAACAAUUUCUUUAGUGCAGAAAGCAGAGUCUUGUUUGUUGCUUUUACUUGCCCGUUGCUUUGAGGAUACCGAGGAAUGGAAUACAAGUUUUUGAUUUUCAGCUUUGAGCAUAAGGUUCUGAAGGCAAUGCUAUCAAACCGUGGCCAAUUAUUAGCUAUAAUUGCCUAUGGGAUUCCAAAUCGGCAAAUGAUGUUUUUCCAAAGAAACUCGGAAACGUAUUUGUCUUUGAUGGUGGCAUAUGCUUCUACUUCUACCCAUUUGUUGAAGUAAUCAGUGGCUAUAAGCAAAAACUUUUUCUACGCAACAGCGAUGGAUAGGGGCCCCACUAUGUUCAUUCCCCAUUGCGCAAAGGGUCAAGGGCUUGUGACCGGAUUUAGGUCAUCAAAGGGCAUGUGGGGAAUGGGAGCGUGCCUUUGGCACCGAUCACACCUCUUGACAUAGUUCGCAGCACCUUGUUUCAUGGUAGGCCAAUAGUAUCCUUGUGAAUGAGCGUGAUGUGCUAAGGUUUGUCCCCCUGCGUGAUUGCCACAUACGCCUUCAUGUAGCUUUGUCAACACAUACUGUGUCUUCAUGUUGUUUAAGCAUCUGAGGUACGAACCUCUAAAGGAUUUCUUGUAGAGGAUAUCCCCAAUCAAAGUGAAGCGGGCUGCUUGCACUCGUAUGUUAUGAGUCUGCUUACUUUCUUCAAGAAGACUUUCGGUCCGGAGAUAUGUCUCAAUUUUGUUCAUCCAGCCAACGCUUACUUCAUUAGUGGAGCACACAGAUGCGACAACUAUGGAUGACGUAUCCUGGAUGUAGAUGGCCAGUAACAUUGCUUUUUCACAAGGAGAGUAGCUACUAUUCCAACUAAGGCGUCUGCCUAGGUGUUUUCUGAGCGGGAGAUUCUCUUGGUGACCCAUUUGUUCAAUUUGUCCAAGCUAGUUUGUACAUUUGAAAGGUACCAAGCCAUGCGCUCGUCCUUAGCUUCAUAUUCUCCUUGAAUUUACCUAACAACUAGCUAGGAGUCACUGCGUAUUUCGAGCUUGGAUGCUAACAAAGUUAGAGCAAGGCUAAGUCUAGCGAGGAUUGCUUCAUACUCGGCCUCAUUAUUAGAGACUAGGAAUCCAAGCCAAAUAGCCUACUCCAAUUGCUCUCCGAUUGGGGAUUGCAAGAGGAGACCCAUUCUGGAUCUUAAGGCUUAGGAUACCUCGUCGAUGUGCAAUAUCCACCACCUCUUUUCAGGAUAGUUUGCACCAUGAUGAGGUUUUUGGGGUGUUUCAGCUAUGAAGUCAACCAUGACCCGUCCUUUCAUUGCCAGCCUAGGUUAAUACUUGAUUCCAUACUCACUUAGUUUAAUGGCCUACCUUAACCGUCUCCUGGAUAGGUCUGGUUUGUGCAGAAUGUUUCUGAGGAGUUGAUUUGUGAGUAUAAUCACUUGAUGAGCUUGAAAGCAAGGGCGGAGGUUUCGCGCAACACUCCUCAAGGCUAAGGCUGUUUGUUCUAUUUUCGAAUACCAGGUUUCUGCGUCAACCAUUGUUUUGCUUACGUAGUAGACGAACCUUUGCUCCUUGUCAUCUACGCAGCGGAAUAGAACAACACUGACAACACAAUCAGAUACUGCUAAGUACAUAUAUAAUUGCUCACCAGGUCGAGGACUGAUUAGAAUGGGUGGGUGAGUGAGAUAGCGUUUAAUCUUCUCGAAUGUUAGCUCGUAGUUAGUUGUCCACCCUACCGUGCUAGUUCAUUUCAGUGUGAGGAAGAAGAGCCUUAACUUGUUUGUAAAUCAGGCUAUGAAGCCUCCUAAUGUAGCCAGACGGCCUAUGAGGCGUUGUAGCUCCUUUUUGCAACUUGGGACAGAUGUUUCCAUGAUACCUUUAAUUUGGUAUCGAUUGGCCUCUAUGCCUUGUGUAACCAUGAACCCUAAAAUCUUGUCUACACUAACCCCAAAUGCGCAUUUGGCCGGAUUAAGUUUCAUAUUGUACCAUUUCAUCAAGUGAAAGAUUUCUUCUAAAUGCUAGGCAUGCUCAAUCCUGGUCCUGUUCUUCACCACAAUGUUUUCAAUAUACACCUCUAUCGUGCGUUUGAUUAAAGGUUUGAAGAUCUUCGUCAUCAACCGUUGGUAAGUGGUCCCAACAUUCUUGAGUCCAAAUGACACGACUUUGUAGCAAAAGAGUCUGUGUGGCAUUAUGAAGACGGUUUUCUCUUCAUUUGGUUGAUACAUAGGGAUUUGGUGGUACAAAAAAAAAACGUCCAGGAAGGAGAGCAUUCCAUGUCCGGCAGUUGAGUCAACUAUUUGGUCUAUUCAUGGUAAUGGGAAGCUAUCUUUUGGGUAGGCAUCAUUCAAGUUGGUGUAAUCGACACAGACCCGCCAUUUGCCUUAUUUUUUCGGGACAACCACUACAUUCGCCAACCACUCUGGAUACUCUAUUUCCCUGAUGAAUCCAACCGCCAGUAACUUUUCUACCUCGACUUGGAUGAAUUUUUGCCUAUCCGAGUGGAAGCAUUGGACCUUCUGGCAAAUAGGUCGUGAGGAAGGGACAACAUUGAGUCGAUAUAAGGCUAUUGAUGGAUGAAUGGAUUUCGAGCAUAUCGAAAUGGGUCCAUGUGAAGACACCUUUAUUACGCUAAAGUACCUCUAUGAGAGCUCUUACUUCUUCCGUCAUGAAGAGUGAGCUAAAAUAGGUGAAGUGAUCAUUUUCUUUUAAGAGAUGUAUGAUCUACAGGGGGUCGGCUGUUAGCAAAUCUCUUUCCACCGAGCACUAUAAUUGCUAUUGUUCCUUUGUACUAGUUGGUUCAGUAGGAGGCUUAGGAACACUUGUGGACCCGAAUUCUCAUGUUACUUGGUAACAUUGUCAUGCCGCUAAUUGGCUUCCAAAAAGGUUAACCUGUCCAUCCUCAGUCAAGUAGCUCACUAUUUGGUGAUAUGUGGAGGGGAUGACCUUCAUGCCAUGCAACCAUGUGCGUCCCAUGAUGGCGUUGAAAUGGGACAAGUCUUCUAUGAUUGAUAACAGCACAUUGAGGACCACUAGCUCAACUUGGACAAGUAGCACGACAUAUCCCAGAGAUGUCGUUGACACUCCAUUGAAUCCUAACAGUAUCUGUCCGGGAUUUUCUAAAGCGAAUGGUGAGAACCCCAUUUGUUAGAACGCGGACAUCUGUAACAAGUCGGCUGAGCUGCCUGGAUCAACUAAGAUCCGCCUUACAUCGAAAUCAUUGAUUCCCAACGUCAUGAUGAGGGCGUCUUGAUGCAAAUGUAAUACCCGAUUGGGGUCUACUAGGGGAAAAGUGAUUGUCCCAUCUAUUAGGCGUACCCCCCCUUCAGUCAAUCAUGGUUGGAUUGAGUUAAUCCGUUCUCGUAUGGAGGCGGCUCGGAGCAACCUUUGUCUCUUCCGCUUAGAGUUGUAUUCCUCAUCGACGGGCCCUCCAUGGAUGUAAUUGAUCAUGGCUCUAGGAGUUGCUGAAGUUGUAGGGGUUUGAGCAUCCGGAUCUUGGUUUGUCUGUGCUCGUCUCCUUUUUGAGCAGACGUACUGCUUUAGGUGUCCGACUCUUACCAGUUUUUCCAGUAGGUAAUGGAGACUUCUGCAUUGCUCCAUGGUGUGGUCAUGUUCCUUAUGGCAAGCACACUUUCUACUCCAAUCCCGCUUAGUAGGAUCCGUCUUGAUGGUUUCUAGCCAUCUAAAAUCAGCCAGAUCCCGGAUCAAAGGGAAGAGCUUGUCGUAUGAAAUGUUGAGGGGGGUGAGGCUGGCUUGGCUUGACUAAUGUCGUCCGCCUUACCCUCUUCCUACCUACCUUCGUUGGCUUGUAGUCUUAGAGCCCUUGGGUGAGUCAUUCCUAGCAAGUUGACUGGUGACCAGAACCUGCUGGGUAGCUGCACGGACAUCGUCUUUGAGCAUGGAGUACUUGUUUACUCGUCUGAAUAGAUCGUCCAUAGUUAUAGGAGGCUUUUUUGCGAAAAAUUAAAACAAGGGUGUACCUGGGCAACUACUCCUCUUAAAGAUUUGCAAGACGACAUCCAUGCUAUAAAAUUCUACUUGAAGUACAACCUGCCCAAAAUGCUUUACAAACUCCCUCAAUGAUUCAUUCUCCUGCAUUUUUACAUUUUACAAGGUAUUGAUGUUUUUUUUUAUGUCAUGCUGAGCACAGGUAUUGUCCCACGAAGGCCUCCGAUAGAUCUCGGAAGUUAUCGACGAAAUUCAUCGAAAGACGGUGGAACCAUGAGAGAGCCUGACCUUGGAGGCUGGCUGGAAAGACCUUGCACAGUAGCGUAUCAUUCCCUAUGUCAAGGGUCAUGAGCUGCCUGUAGUGCAUGAUAUGGUCGAAUGGAUCACUGGAUCCGUCAAAUGCAGAGAAUUUUGGAAUUAUGAACCCUCGUGGGGGCUCAUAGGUGAUGAUGUCAGGGGUGAAAAGCGUGGAGAACAUAUCAUCCAAUCGCCUACUGGCAAAACCGGGGGGACCUCUGUUUGUCAAACCCCCUACUGGUUGUUGUGUUGGCAUAUGGGGGAGCCAGUCUGUGAUGAUAGGUGCAGUUAAGGGGCUAAGAUAUGCUUCAUGGGCCAUUGCUUCAUAUAGUUUCCCCAUUAUGUUAAGCGUCUGAGGCCCUAGCCUUGUGUGCAUUAUGUCUGAUAGUUGGGACUUCCUAUCGCGUCUUCUCUUUGUUGAGACACGAGUGGAAUUUGAGCUUUCAUCCUACUGCGCGUGAUAGGCUGAUAGAGAUCUUUGUUCAGGUAUUCUUUCUGGUUCAUUGGAGGGGAACCCUGUGUUUCUAAGAUAUGUUGCCUCCUCGUUUUACCUAGAGUUCACUUGCUGACUUCUUGGUUGUCGGCUACGAGGAGGGCCCGAUGAGGAUACCUGAAUACGCAACACGUUGUUUUCUUCCUCGAGUCUCCUUGUCUCUUGGAACAGAGCUUGCACUUGUCGUUCACUCUCUCGUUGGCGUAUCUCCAUACUUGCACGCCAGCCAAAGUAACUCUCGUCACCCAUGGCUGUUGAGCAACUUCUAGAGGGUGUUGAUAUUUUUGUUCUGCUUCCCAUAGACGGUGCCAAUGUUGAUACCUAGUCAACGGAGAAUUGAUUCAUUCCUUGAAGUGAUAGUGAAAGAUUCUAUUUAGACGCUGGAAUCUGGACUUCCUGCUUCCCUGCACAUAGAUGUCCGGACGGGUUGUCCAAAUAUACCCUCCGAAGCUUAAGUCAUAUUAGAAGCCCUUAGAAAGAGAGAGAGAGAGAGAGAGUUGGUUCGAGAACUUAUCAUUUCCCCCUGUUUUAUUGUAGUAAGGUUUUUAUAAUGUUCUGCGGUGAAAAGAGAGCUUAGGGAUGCUGAGUUGGCCCUAGUAAUGAAGAUUGCGCAGUAGUGACAGGGCAAUCAUUACAUUUGCAAGGCAACUAGGGGCUAUGUCAGGCGACACAUCAUGAUAUAGCUUGUUGCCCUUCCAAACUUGCACCUACUAAGGCAGACGUAAGGAUGGGAAGAGUCCCAUUAGUCAAUCUGGUGUCAGUUGGGCAAGGUCUAACAUAUCAGAAAAGAUUUGAGGCUAUCAAAGAGGUGAGGGCUGCUUGGUAGCGCAAAUGAUCCGAGCAAAAUGCCCCUAGGUACCUUGAAGGGCGUCCGAAUAGUGAUGAAAGAUGUGACACAUGGCCUAACCAGGAGAAUGCCACAUGGAUAGACACGUGGAAGUAUUCGUGGGUGGACACAUGGGAUAAGGUCCCUACAGUUGCAACCUUGAUAUGACCAUCUCAUGUUGGGGUUGAAUCAAGAAUAGGAGAGGUAAUAUGUAGUGUAUGGCUACUACUAUGCUUCUUGCCAUUUUUGAAAGGCCUAUUUGGGAAAUGAAAAAAAUGAGAUACCUACAUCCACCAUAUGCAAGUCAGCAGCUUUGGCACUGUUUUUUCUUGCUUUCAUUAUUAUAGGUAAAAGAAAGAGUUUCAAGAAAUUCAAUUGAAACGAGGGAAUCUUUACUUUGUUAUGACAUGCAUCAUCCCACUGGUUUAAUAUAAGGCAAAUUUAAACCUUUCUUGAGUCCAUUUUUCUUCUCCCGAGUCUUACCUUUUUUACUUUCUUCUUCUGCCAAGUGCCAACAAAAUGGUAUUUUGACAUUUUUCUUUUCACCACAACUACAGCUAUAACUUUGUGGGUGAAAUGAAAUCAUGAUCAUGUUGUUAAACCACCAAUUUAAUCUAAAACCAUACAAAACCAACUUGAGUAUUUUAAUCAACCUUUUGCUUUCAUGUAAGUUUAGUAAAUAGAAAAAAUAAAUAUUUUGGUUUCCUAUCAAUUAAGGCUAUGAUAAAGUAUCAAUUAAAUUGCUUGAAAGCCUAGCAUUAAUAAGGAAUUAGAGUGCGUUUGUUGGGCUUUUAGAUGAAGUAUUUUUUCUAGAAGGAUUUUUGGUAGAAUUACUAUCAAGACUGAUAAAUGAUUUUUCAACAAGCUUGCCAAAUUGGCUCUUAGCAUGUGUCAUGCCCGACAAUGCAUUUCAUAUUUUCUCAAUUCAAUAUAAAUAUUCAAGUUUCUCAUUUUGAUUAAAGUUCCUCAAUUACAUGCUUUUCUAGUACUCAAAAGACCUUGUUUGGAUAUUUAAUUUUUUAAAACAUGUUCUAGGUUUCCUCUUUUUACUAGUUUUGAAUUCCUAUAGAUUAUCUUCUUCCGUUUGUGUGCAACUUCUAUAUACAACUCUUUCCAUCUUCUCUCAUCGCCGAAACCAUGCUCCUUAGAAGAGGCAAGGUUAUGUGUAACUUGUAUAAAUUCAUAUAAUCAAUCCAAGAAUGUUAAUCCAAGAAUUUUGAGGUCAGUCUUUUCAUUAUAUCUUCUUUAUGAUAUCAGAGUAGGAUUGUCAUGCCUCGAAUUCUGGGCAACCCAGAAUUCGACUCGUGACCUUAGCUCAAAGGUUUGAACCUAAGGGUUAUGUCUAUCCAAGUUGGCAAUCAGUCUUGAAAAUUAACCUGAUUUUUUUUUUUUUUAAAAAAACAAAACAAAAUAACAUCUAACCUCAAAUAAAUUUACUAACCUAAGACUUACUAUAUCAUAGUAUUUUACUUCAUUUUAUUUAUCUCCAAAACCAACCAUUACUUGUUCAUAAGUAUAAUAAAUCCACCUAUCAUUUUUCCACACUAGAUAAUAACCCAAAUAGUUACAAUAAUCUUUAAGUCAAAAAGAAUAUUUCCAAAAAUGUUUUACAAACUAACAAAAUAUAAUUUAAGUUAUAAAAGUCCAUAUAACUCAAAUUAGUACAUUUCAAAAAGGUAAUAUAAAUGAAAAACAACUAAUAUUAUGGUUCUCUUACUUUCUGGGGCUUUCUGGAACACUUCCUGAUCUUCUUAUAGUUCUUUAAAAACUAUAUCCGUAUUUAAAAAUUUUAGAAAAUAAAGGGUGAGCAUUUCCACAUUACUUAAUAGGGUGUUUUAUACCCCAAAUGGGUUAUAAAUUAUAGGUCAAUAAAAUACAAUCACUUAUUAAAAUAUAAUAUUAUAUCUAUAUUGUAUACAUUAAAUGAAUCACAACUAUACAAAUUUAAACCAAUCAAAAUUAUCGCUUCUCUUAUUCAAUCAUAUGCCUAACAUAUCAACAAUUCUAAAUUCACCAAAAUAAACAAUUCAUUUUAGUUUCGAAUAAAAUAUUUGAAACAUCCUGUUAAUAAAUAAUAUCAAUCAUUCUUUCAAAUGUAACAUGAUGCAAAUGCUUACACACAAUCAUGCAAUACAUUGUUGUUCUCGAGUUUUCACUUAAAUAUACGCAUCCGUACCCAAAUACACUCCCCAUUCGAAGUCUUUCCAAGGUAAUAAACUUUUGGGUCUUUCACCAUAGGGAUCUCACUCUCUUCUUAAUUCACCUCUCACGGACCUUUCAUUUCUCAUUUCUUUUUUCCUUUCAUUUUUGCCUCUUUGAGGUCUUUUCAUUCUCAUUUCCAUUUCACACAACCAUUUCUUCAUUUUUCUCUUUCUUCACACAACCAUGAUGCAUAUGAAGGGCAAUCAAAUCAUAUUUUAACAUCCAUAAUUUUUUAGGACAUAAUUCUAUUUCCUCCCAUUAUAUUUCAUAAUUUUCAACAAUCCACACAACAAUUUUUCUUCACUUUAAUCACGACAAACAUCAAAGAAAAUUCACAAUUAAUUUGUAUAGCAUCAAAACAUAGUUUUAAACCUUAACCACAUAAAUUCUAUUUAUUCCCUACAUGCUUAAUAAUUUUCAACAACUAAUAUAACAAUUUUUUUUCUUCAAUUAAAUAACCACACAUAUCCAAGAAAAUUCUCACUAAUACAAAUAUCAACAAAAACAUAAUUUAUGUCAUAAUAUAUUUACCUCCAAUAAUCUCAAUAAUUUUAACACCCAAUACAACAAUUUUCCACAAUUAAGCCACCACAACGUUCGGGAAAUUUUUUCCAAUAAUUCAAAUAUUAACAAAAACCCAAUUUAUAUCAUCAAUUUAUUCAUUUAUAAUAAUAUUAAUAAUUUUAAAACAAUCAUCUUAAACAUAUCUCAAUACUCAAAAUUUUGAACAAAUAAUUUUUAUUAUUUUCAACACUAACAUAUCACCAAUAAAUUUAUAUAAUUUCUAACAUGACAACAAUCAUAAAAAUAUACUAACCAAUAUUCCAAUAAUUUUUUUUUUCACAACCAGAACAAUAUGGUUCAUUCUAUCACGAGAAUAACAAUUAAAUACCAACAAUUAUAAUAUUUUUAUAUUGCAUUAAACUUUCAUUUGCUUCACAUUUAACAUUUUCAAAGCAAAACUAAAUCAUUUUACACGUUUAGGGUUUCCAAAAACAACCUAAAAGAAAACUAUAUGACGAUCUACUACACCCAACAACUCACCCAUUUCCAUGGAGGUUUUUGAAAAUAAAUAAAAGUAAAACGAAAAGCCCCAAAAAAGUCGAGAGAGAAAUUUAGGAAAAACACACCCCUACCUGUACAGUAAAACCCAAUUGUAUGAUCGAAAAUCUGAUUUAGUAGAAUAAAAUAAUAUUUUUGAAUAAAGUUAUAAAAUAUUAUAAUAUUUUAAUUAUUUAUAAAAUAUAUUUAUUUUAAUGUGAAUAAAAAAAUUAAAAAAAAAUUUAAAAAUAUAUAUUUUAAAAAGAAUCUAAAAAAAUUCAAAUAAAAGUUUAAUAGGACGAGAUGAGGUGGGUAUGGGAAAUUCGUAUACUUGUCUUGUCCUAUUUAAUUUUUUUAAUGAGAUGAUGAUAAAAAUUAUUUGAAUAAAUGGGACGGGGUUGGGACAGGGAUAACCCAUCUCUAAUCCAUUUUGUUGCCAUCUCUACAUGAUUGAAGAGGAUAUUUUUUGACAUGCAAUUUUUCUUAUAUUUUAUGUUAUUUUCAAAACUCCUUGUGCAUUAGAGUUGUAAACAUGAAUGAUUAAUUGAAUAAAUGAGGAUAAAGAUAAUGUCACAUCAAUAUGCAUUCCACAAAAAGGAAGAAAUUGAGUGGGAGCAUGUACCGGCUUCAUCAGCCGGCAAUCAUGCAAAAUUUGGUUGAUAUUUACUUCUAUUGUGGACUUUACACCAAGUUUACUCUAUCAUAUGGGCCAAUUAUCCAUCUCUAUCGCCCUAAAGCAUCAGUAUCCCCUAUUUGUCUUUUUGGGGAAAAACAUAAUAACCAGGUUGCAGGGUCAAUUUGGUAGGGUACACUGUCGAGUAUUGUGGACUUGGCCGCAAAGUACGACCACUGCACCUGACAUGAUCUCUAGGCCAUGGUUUCUUCCACAUGAAUUUUCCCUUUUCUAAAUUAUGUUCAACGAUAUCAUCAUGGAGCUGCCUGCCACGCUUCUAUAAUUCAAUCUUGACUUACCUUGAAGAUCAUGCAUGCUUUUGUCUUCCACAUUCAUUUUUCCAAAUCUUUAAUGCAGCUAGAUGAUUAAUUGCAAAUUUAUGUUGAUUAACUCUUGUAUUUUUUUAUCAUGCACGAUACAAACUUAAACUCAAUCUUAAUUAUUUUACAAAUAAAAUUUUGUUAAAUUAACGACACUUCACAACAAGAAACUUUGGAUUAUUAUACAUAUGUUCUAUCAAAGGAAGUUCUACCGACAUUAUAAUUAUAACUUGGAUGAGUUAGACGAGCGAGAAGACUAAUUUGUUUCAAAUCUACUACCAACUUGUCCAACCCAAUCCAAAUCUAAUUAACUCAAGGUUGGAUCGAAAAUUAUUAACCCACUCCACGCCCUACACAACUGAGGUUCCCAUAAGUCACAAUGAGUUCUUACAAGUUAUUAAGUAAGAUGAUUAUUUUAAAGUCUAUUUCAAGUAAAAUAUAUUACAAAUACAGGUUUCCAUGGGUUGUCUAAACGAUUAAACUGUGGCAAUAUUAAUAUUUUAUGGUUGAUGGUUUUCUAUCCCAAGCACCAAGUUAACCCAUUUAAACCUUACCCACAUCAAUUGGAACUGGGGUGAACCCUUGAAGUUGCAGUCCAAAGAGACGUAAAUUAAGGUGUCCAUUAAAUUCAAAGAUUAAUAUUUAAUUACCUAAAACAACUUAUGAAAUUUUCUUUAUUUGAUGACUUAAAACUUAUCAUUUAAUCUUAAUUUUCAAGCAUCAAGAUUGUUUAAUAAAACUAAUUAAUUUUUUUUUAAGUUAGCUAUCAAGUUUAACAUAUUAACUUUUAUUAAUAUUAAGUCAUGACCAAUGAGAGAGACAAUUAAGGGAGCAAGAGAUAAUAGUUGUGAUAUAAAAUUGAUGAGAACUAUCUUGAAAACUGUUUUUGCUUUUCUUUUGACUUUUUUUACUCUAAGGAUCCUUUUUUGAUGAUAUAUGUAUGAUAAAAAAGUGAUUUUUAGAAAAACUUUUACCAAAUCUUUGUAUAAGAUGUGAUUUUAAAAUUUCUCAAAGAUAGUUUUUGAAACUUUAUCAAAUACAUAUUCAAAAUAAGUAGUUUUAGCAUUUUCAGAGUCACACCCAAAUAAACUUUUAGGCAUUCUUCACUUUAAAUAGCCUUAUUGAGUCUUAUUGACUAAUAAUACUAAUUAUAUCUAUCGGUGGGACAGCUGGGAAAUCCACGAAUGCAUGCGGUAUAUGUUGAAUAAAAUCAAUGUGUAUCAUACAUUACACAUUUAUAUUGUAGUAGUAAUAAUAGGAAUAUGGCUGUUUAAUUAGGCUACACUAGUAUGUCCAGUGAGAAAAAACAAGAGGAAAAUUGAAAAAUUACUGUUGGGUUUGCUCUGCAAGGAAUGGCCAGCACAACUAUAAAGCCAUUUAUGUAACGCCCAAGUUUUUUUUUAAAAGGGUAAUUUAGGAAAUUCAUAAUAAUGAUAUUAAAUUAAUUAAUUAAUUAAUUUAAUAAAAUGGAAGAGGGGUGAAAAUGUAAUUUUACGAAUAAUACCCUAGGUAUAAAUAGAAAAUUAUCUUCUUCCUGUUCUUUUCUGAAUCGUAUUCCUGUUCGCAGAAAGUUUUCAGAGAACGUGAAGUUGAGGCCAGAUUUCAAGGUUUGAAGAACAAACCUCUAUAGGUAAGAUUCUAAUCCCUAGAUUAUUAUUUUAGAUUCAUUAGUUAAUUUCAAGCACAUUAGAUAUAUUUCUUUUGGAAAACCCCAAAUCUAGAUUAGGGUUAGUUUAUUUUUUUUUUAAUUUGUUUUAAUAUCAAAUAGUGAAAAUUUAAGAUUUUGAUUUAUUAUUGGAAUUUGGGAGAUCUUAAGUUUUUUUUUUUUUGAAAAGAAAAAAAGAUUCCUAUGAAAAUUUCGAUUUAAAUUAGGGUUAGUUUAUUAUUAUUUUUUUAUUCGUUUUAAUAUCAAAUAGUGAAAAUUUAAGGUUUUGAUUUAUUGUUGGAAUUUGGGAGAUCUUAAGUUUUUUUUAACAAAAAAAAAAAAAAAAACCUAUGUGCACUAGUUGCAUGCGUGUGGGAACUAUGCAUCCACUUUUUUUUGUAAGGAUUUCAUGGUUGAAAUCUAGUUGGUGGAUUUUCACAUACUCUAUUAUUAGACUUUGAUGGAUACUUGGGUAUGUAAUAUUUAAUAGUAACAGAACUCCGUAUUGUUAGACUUUGAUGGGUACUAGAGUACUGAGUAUUGUAUUAUUUAAUAAUGGCAGGGCUUUGUGUUAUUAAAAACAAAUUGGGAAUUUGUUAAUUUAUUUAAAUAAGGAAUAGAUUAGUUAAAUUAUAGAUAAAUUGUAAUAGUUAUUCCUCUUAUAUUUUUUUAGGUGAAGAGUAAAUUUUCAAGAUUAUUUUCUCUUCAAAGUUUUUGAGGACUUCUUUUGAAAUAAGAGAAAUUAAUGUAGUUGUUAAAUUCUUUUUUAAAACAAUUAUAUAUAUAUAUAUAUACAUUAUUUGAAAACGUUUGAGUUAUAUUCCGUUUUAUGCAUAGAUCAAACCUGUUUUGCAUGAAAAGUAUAUUAAAAUUUUAUAUUAUGUUUUUGACAAAUAAAUGUGGAGAUAUUAUAUGUUGUAAAUUUCAAUAAAGGAAAUAAAUAUUUGACUCUGGUUUGUUUGGCCCUUGUCAACGGGAUUUAAUAGUUGACUUUUGGUCCUUGUCAAUGGGAUAUAAUAGUUGACCUUUACAUUUCUUGGUGGGGAAUGUAAUUGAUUUGAACCCCAGCCUCUAGGGGUUUCAGUUAGAGGUUACUAGUACUAGUAGUGUUUGGUUCCAUCCACCUUAAAGGAACAAUUUGAGGCUAGCCACCCAUUUGAAAAGUCCCACCUAACUGGGCACCCUUUGAUGUUUGAUGACCAAAGUAAAUAAAUUAUUGGAAUGUUUUGACUAAAUUUGAUAUGAAAUUGUUUGAAUCAGAAAUAAAUACAUACAGUUAGAAAUUUUGAAUGUAUUGGAAAAAAAAAAAAAAAAUUUACUCACAGCUUUAUGAAAAUGAUUGAUUACAAUAUCUCCUAUUUUGCAAGUGAGUUUGAAAUGUUUGAUCCAUGGACUGCAUUAAUGUUCCUUAUUGGGCUGUGAGCUCAUUCCCAUUUGUUGACUACUUUUCGGAUACCCUUAGUUCGGGUGAGGAGUGAUGGCUAGGUUAAGGAAUUGUCAUCAUUAGGAUUUGACUUAGGAUUUUAUGUUGGAUUUUGUUUAACUGUUAGUUGUGUUCAUUUGGAUCUUUUGGUAUUUGGAAGUUAUUUGGAUAUUGAUCCUUCAAAUUUUAUGUUAGAUCAAAGUUAAGUUUUGGAGAUUUCGAAAUUUGUUCUAGUACUUGAAUUGUUUAAGUUUGCAACUAUUUGGACAAUGGAUUUUGGAUAGUGGAUGUUUGAGUUUUGAAAUUGAAUUUUGAGGAUUUUAGAUUUUGUUCCGCUACUCUGAACAGAUAUUUGGUAAUUGGUAACUUUCGAUUACAAGAUAAUUGUUUGGGUCAGGUUACACUGUAAGCCUUCGGGUUUGAAGUGUGAAAUGACCGUCACGCCCUUGGAGUGGGUCUUGGGGCGUGACAAUUUACACCUCCACAAAUUGCAUACACCAUCUGUCUAAUAGGGCAACUCUUAAGGUAUCCUCCUCCUUUUUCGAAUGGCCGCACCAAUCUCACCUCUCUAUGAAAAAAUCCCCCAGAAAAAUACACUCCAUAGAGCCUUGGAAUUUACCAUCUUCUUCCUUCUCCUCUCUCUCCUUGCUUAUCGUCUCCUCUCCCUCAAAAACAAUGGUUUCGCUUGGCUCAUCGCCUUCCUCUGUGAGUCAUGGUUCACCUUCCUUUGGGUUCUUAACUUGAGCUCCAAAUGGAAUCCUGUGUCCUACAUAACAUACCCUGAACGCCUUCUACAAUGUUAUCAGUAUCCAAUAAUUCUCUUAGUAAACCUCUUUAUGUACUUUGGCGUUUUUUUCUGCCUUCAAUUUUCAUAUAUGACUAUACUCUUGAUUUUCUGAACAGAGUUGAUGAGCUUCCUCCAGUGGACAUGUUUGUUACAACUACAGAUCCCAUGCUGGAACCCCCUAUCAUCACUGUAAACACUGUCCUCUCCUUACUGGCACUUGACUAUCCAGCUAACAAGCUUUCUUGCUAUGUGUCGGAUGAUGGAGCUUCCCGUCUCACCUUCUACUCUCUCCUUGAAGCAUCUAAGUUUGCUAAGCUUUGGGUUCCUUUCUGUAAGAAGUAUGGUAUUCAAACCAGAGCUCCCUUUAGAUACUUUUCCACUGAGUUGGUAUCAUCGAAUGAUAAUUCGAUGGAGUUCCUACAAGAAUACAGAAAGAUAAAGGUACGCAAACUAUUCUAGUAUGAACCAUAAGUACUUGGUGCAAUUUAAUUUUUGCUUCUUUACUUUUAAUUACAAUUCUUAAAAUGCAGAUGAUUUGGAAUUUGGAAUUUUCUUUUCCUUCAGCAUAUUGAGUAUUGAUCCUUUUCUUUUCUGUUUAUACAUAAACCUUCUUCAGAAAAGAAUUCCACUAGCCAGUAUGUCAUUUCUCCAAAUAUAUCUCCUCUUCAUCAGUGUACAGUGACGCUUUGAUAAAAGCUUUUGCAGAUAUCUUCCUUGUGCUUAUACAAUUUUGUUCAUCUUCAUCUCUUUUAGGAAAGAUAUGAAGAGCUUGGACAAAAAAUUGAAGGUGCAACCCUAAAGUCAAUGCCGUAUGAGCUUAGUUCUGCAGAGUUCGUGGCUUUCUCAAAUGUAGAAAGGGAAAACCAUCCGACCAUAAUCAAGGUAUGUUUACUCAUUAUUACCAUUAUUAAUUAUAUAUAAAAAAAAUCCAACACGUGCAGCUAAUCAUAAGAGAUUAAAAUGAUUGUAUAAAUAUUUUGCCCGUGGAUUAGUAUUUAAAAAAAAAAAAAAAAAGAGUAACCAAUUUAAGCUAUAACUAUUUGGUUAACAUGAGAGAGCUAGGGAGUGGUGAUAUUCUAUAACCAUGAAUGGUGACUUUGUAGGUUAUAUUGGAGAACAAGGAGAGCCGCCCUGAUGGACUGCCACAUCUAAUUAAUUUAUGUAUCCAGAGAGAAGCAUGCCAGGCAUCCACUCCAUUACAAAGCCGGUGCCGUGAAUGUUCUGGUAAGGAAGCCCCUUGAAUUGUGGUAUAAUUACUGAUAUUCCUUCUUUUCCCCUGAUUGUUUCAUGAUAAACAGACCAGAGUCUCUGGAGUUAUGACAAAUGCUCCUUUCAUGCGGAACGUAGACUGUGAUAUGUACGCCAACAAUCCACAGAUUUUUCAUCAUGCAAUGUGUUUGCUCCUCGGUUCCAAGAAUGAACAGGACUGCAGGUUUGUUCAGACUCCACAAUGUCACGCCCCAAGACCCACUCCAAGGGCGUGAUGGUCAUUUCACACUUCAAACCCGAAGGCUUACAGUGUAACCUGACCCAAACAAUUAUCUUGUAAUCGGAAGUUACCAAUUACCAAAUACCUGUUCAAAGUAGUGGAACAAAAUCUAAAAUCUUCAAAAUUCAAUUUCAAAACUAAAACAUCUACUAUCCAAAAUCCAUUGUCCAAAUAUUUGCAAACUUAAACAAUUCAAGUACUAUAACAAAUUUCGAAAUCUCCAAAACUCAACUUUGAUCUAACAUAAAAUUUGAAGGAUCAAUAUCCAAAUAACUUCCAGAUACCAAAAGAUCCAAAUGAACACAACUAACAGUUAAACAAAAUCCAACAUAAAAUCCUAAGUCAAAUCCUAAUGAUGACCAUUCCUCAGCUUAGCCAUCACUCCUCACCCGAACUAAGGGUACCUGAAAAGUAGUCAACAAAUGGGAAUGAGCUCACAGCCCAAUAAGGAACAUUAAUGCAGUCCAUGGAUCAAACAUUUCAAACUCACUUGCAAAAUAGGAGAUAUUGUAAUCAAUCAUUUUCAUAAACCUGUGAAUAAUUUUUUUUUUUUUUUUGCCAAUACAUUCAAAAUUUCUAACUGUAUGCAUUUAUUUAUGAUUCAAACAAUUUCAUAUCAAAUUCAAUCAAAACAUUCCAAUAAUUUAUUUACUUUGGUCAUCAAACAUCAAAGGGUGCCCAGUUAGGUGAGACUUUUCAAAUGGGUGGCUAACCUCAAAUUGUUCCUUUAAGGUGGAUGGAACCAAACACUACUAGUACUAGUAACCUCUAACCGAAACCCCUAGAGGCUGGGGUUCAAAUCAAUUACAUUCUCCACUAAAAAAUGUAAAGGUCAACUAUUAUAUCCCAUUGAUAAGGGCCAAAAGUCAACUAUUAAAUCCCGUUGACAAGGGCUAAACAAACCAAAGUCAAAUAUUUAUUUCAUUUAUUCAAAUUUACAACAUAUAAUAUCUCCACAUUUAUUUGUCAAACACAUAAUAUAAAAUUCUAACAUACUUUUCAUGUAAAACAGGUUUGAUCCAUGCAUAAAACAGAAUAUAACUCAAACGUUUUCAAAUAAUGUAUAUAUAUAUAUAUAUAUAUAUAUAUAUAUAAAAUUGUUUAAAAAAAGAAUUUAACAACUGCAUUAAUUUCUCAUACCUUAAAAGAAAUCUUCAAAAACUUUGGAGAGAAAAAUCUUGAAAAUCUUCUCUUCACCUAACAAAAUAUAAGAGGAAUAAUUAUUACUAUUUAUCUAAAAUUAUAGGUUUGACAAUCCUAAAAUUUUAGGUAUUCAAAUUUUUUUUUUUUUAUAUUUAUGAAAGGUAGUUUAAUCUAUUCAUAUUUUAAAAAUUAAUAAAUUUCUAAUUCAUAUAAAAUUGAAUUUAUUUAUUUAUUUAUUUAUUUUAAAAUUUAUUUCUUGGGACACAACUUAAUUAAACUAUAAUUUAUUUCAAUAAUUAAUUUCUAUGUUAUUUAUUAACUUACGCUUAUAAUUGUAAUAUAAAAAAAAAACUUUACUUCCUUUUUAUUUAAAACUUCUAUUAUCUCAUUUUUAUUUUUAUUUUAACAUAAACUUUAUUCCCAACAAUACUUCAUUAUUGUCAAUAAAAUAAUAGACAUAUAUAUAUAUAUAUAUUAACUAACCACCCUCCAUACUUCUUAGUAGGAAAAUUAACUGAUGAGAGAUUAGAAAAAACAUUAGGAAAUUCAAAGGAAUUCACCACAACAGCUGCAAGGAUUUUAUCCGGGUUGAGUGGGAUUUCCCAUUGUCCAUAUGAUCUUUUGAAUCGGGUUGAGGCAGCCCAACAAGUUGCAACUUGCAGCUAUGAGUGUGGAACUAGCUGGGGUACAAAGGUGAGUUGCAAAUAUUUAGGACAACAAGAGUAGUACCUUGAAUAAAAUCCACGCUUCCUUUUUUACCUUAAGUUCAUACAUUUUUCAGUAAAAAAGGAUUUUCGUUUAUUUUAUUUUAUUUUAUUUUUAUUUAUUUAUUUUUUUUCUCAGUGAAAGUUACAUUAACUCUACUAUAAGGCAUUUUCACUGUAUAAUGGUUUUAGGUGCCUGAUGUUUUGUGAUCAGAUUGGCUGGUUAUAUGGAAUCACAACAGAAGACAUUCUCACGGGUAUGACGAUACAUGCAAAAGGUUGGAGAUCCACAUACUGCCAGCCUGAUAAAUAGCAUAAGUCAUGAUGAAAAAAAUGUCAUGAGAUAAAAAUGAACUUAUGAAGAAUAUAUGAAGUAGAUAGAAGAAUAUACGUAAUAAAUAGAGAUGUGAGAAAUAAUGGAAGACACUUGGUGAAGUUGGAUUAAAGCUUCCAUUGACACAAGAAGUGGCAUCAAAGAUUUGAUUGAGUAUUUUUGGAAGGACAACAAGAAUAGAACACAAAAAGGAUUACAAAAUAAAUUAAUUUUUGUUGAAGGUAAAAUUGAUUGUUUCUCUCACAAAAAUGUGAUACAAAAAGCAUGAGGAUCAUGAUGCAUGACAAGAUCAUGGUGCACGAAAGCAAUUGUGACAUGCAAGAAGAGCAUGGUACACAAGGAAGCUGGGUAUAAAAUAAGGAUUUGGUUAAGACAAGCUUUGUAAAAGAGUUUAUCCUAAAUAACUGAAAGAUUAACUUAAUAAAAUUUGAUCAAAGGUGAAGAUUGUUGGAAAACGUCUCAAAUUUCUAAUUAGUAUAUAUUUAUUUAUUUUUUAAAAUAUUUUAUUGAAUAUUUUCUAAAUUCAUAUGUCAUUAUAAUUAUAUUUUUUAUAAAAUAAGGAAAGUCAUUAGAAAAUAUCUAUAUAAAUAUUAUAAAUUACGAGGGGAAAAAUUAUGAAAUAAAGAUAAGCUUGUGAAGACUAUCCAAAGAUAUGAGGGGAAGAGUGAAUGAUACUAGAUGGAAUAAGAGGACUAAUUAUUUAAGGUACAGAUACAAAGAGUGAAAAAAGAUAAGAUAUUUACUGAUCUAAUAAUUAAUUUAUUUUUAUCCUUUAUAAUCAUUUCUAUAGUAUAGUGAAAUGCUAUUUGUCAUAUAUUAAUAAUAUAGACAUGAAUAGUCGAAAAACCUCAUGUACCUCUAUGUGUGGAUUAUUUGAUUUUUGUGUUCUUGCAUUAACAUGUUUCCAUUGAAGAUUCCACUUACACAACAUAGCUAGUGUUCUAAGAUAUUGGUCUUGCUUUGUUUUUGCUUUUCAUUGUCCCUUGUUUUAUUAUCAUUUUAUGCAUACUUAGCAUUAGUACUUCACCAACAUUUGUUUUGUUAUCAUUUUAUGGUCCUACUAGCUAGCUAUAUUAUGCAUACAUAACAUAUCAUUUCUAAUUUUGAUGAAAAUAACUUAAAUUCUAAAUGAUUUCUACUUUAAAAUGUUCUAAAGAUGCAACCAAAUAUACACUAUUAAUACGGGAUACCCACAUCCACCAUUUGCAAGUCAGCAGCUUUGGCACUGCUUUUUCUUGCUUGCAUCAUUACAAGUGAAAGAAAGAGUUUCUAGUAAGUCAAUUGAAAUGGAGGAAUCUUUACUUUGCUGAAGAGCAUAAGUAUUAAUCAAAUUUGUUGUGACAUGCAUUAUCGCAAUAUAUAAUUAAAUGUAAGAGAAAUUUUACAACUAUGCACCAUUUUACUGCCUUCUUGUCUCUAUCUUGACACUCUUCGUUCCCAAAUAAGACGGUAUUUUGCCAUUUUGCCUUUCAUAGUAGCCGCAGCUGCAACUUGGGGAAAUGAAAUCUUGGUGGUGUUAUUAAAUUAGGUUGACAAUUUUGUUCCAAAAUAAUUUGAUUUAAUGCUACCACUUAAGAGACUAAUCAACUUCAAGAGCAAGAUUGAAAAUUCAAGGAAGUGAAGUCGAUUAAGGUGAGUUGCAAGUUGGGCUUAUAAGGGUGGUGAUUCCUUGAUUUGCAUCACUUCGGUGUUCUUCUCAAGGUUUUAUUUCUUCUCUACUUUAUCCCAGUGCAAAUUGGUACCAGAGCAUUGGUUUCAUGGCUAGUCAUUGUCAUCACAAUUAGAAUCACUGUGUUCUUAAUGAACAUAUUAAGUUUUCUUUUCUUAAAAGUUAAGUUCUCUUUUCUUAAAUAGUUUUCAUUUAUUUUCCCAUAUGUAUAAAUUUUUUGUAAAGGUAAUUUAGAUUCAUUUUAGAAUUCAUAAUACUUAUGAAGUUUGUGUUCCAAUUGUUAUUAUUAUUAUUAUUAAUCAAUAAGAAGUUUAAAAGUAUUUAACUAAUGGCUCAUUGAUGAGAACUCUAAUGCACCUAUAAAUUGAAAAGCUCUUGGUCCCUCUCUCCACUCUUAUAUAUAUAUAUUUUUCAAAAGUAUUUCCUUAUUUCUCACUAAGGAGUGUAUAAAGGGGGAGCAAGAGAGUGAAGAUCAAGAGUGAAAGAUUUCAAAACUGUUAUUUCAAGAACUUUAAGUUUUUUUGAAAUUAGGAAUAUAAAUCAAGGUGUACUUUCUUCUUCACAUCCUAUAUAUAUAUAUAUAUAUAUAUAUAUAUAUAUAUAUUUUAACAUUUGGUAUUAGAGUGAGGUUAAUCAUUUGUGUGUUUAAUUUUUUAUUUGGAUAUAGAUCAAGAAACACUAUAACCUAAAGUUAUGGAGAAAAUCUCUUGAUGUGAAAUAUUAUAACUAGACAUUAUGAAUAAAUUAUUUUAUUUUUCAUAGCCCAAAGCUAUGAUAACAUUUAUACAUCUAUAACUAGAAGUUGUGAAUAAAAGCAUAUUUGCACAUAUGAUAGUCCAAAGUUAUGAAUAAAUUAACUUAAAUUACAUAACAUAAAAUUAUGAAUUAAAGAAUUUGUUAAUAUCAUAUAGGUUGGAUAUGGAAAAGCGUUGAUACUAAUUUGAUGGAGUAAUAAGGUUGAUAGAGAGAAACACAAACAAUUAAAAAAGAAGAUUAGUUAUAGUCUUCACUAGACUCUUCAAAUAUGCAAGUGGCAUUUAUAGAAGAACUAUCUUGGGGUUAUAAGUCGUGAGCUUGAGAUUGUGAACCAUUUGAUUUUGAAGAAGCCAUGCAAAACUAAAAAUGAAAUAAUAUUCAAGUAAAAUAUCUUUCAAAAGGGAAAGACAUUUGAAGUAAAAUGGAUGUACAAAAUAAAGAAGAAUACAAAAAGAGAAGUAGAGAAAUACAAAACCUCUCAAAUCUGAAGAUUUUAGAAGAUUAAGAACAUUAUUUGAAGUUACAAAUUAAGUUUAAGAGAUUAUAUAUGUUAAAAAAAAUUAAAAAAAAAAACUUGAGGAGAAAAGUUUCGAAUAAAGAGAUGUAAUUUGAUUUAGUUUCUAAAAGUCAAUUGAAAUAUUUUAGUUUGAGUGAUUCAGUCAUAUUUUAUUACUAGGAGUUUUUAUUUUGUUAAAUGCAAGCAUAUAUAAAAAGGUUGUAUAAUAUUUGAACAAAGUACCAUUGGAGGAUAUAUCAGAGGUGUUCAACAUCAGUGUUUUGGUUUGAAAUAGGUUCUCUGUUAGGGGUCAUUGUUGAAUGGUGGUUGUAGUGGGAUCCAUGUGUUGAAUAGAUGUUGUAGAGUUGAUCCAUUAUUGAAUGGGAAUGUUGACUCCACUUUUGAUGAAUGUGGGGACAAUAAAGCGAUGUUCUUUCCAAAGUAUAAAUGUUAAGCUACUUAUUAGCUUAGCUUUUAAUGUUGUAUAUCAAAUCCAUUAAUAGUUUGUUUGAUAAUGCAUUUUAAAAAUAUAAAAAAAGAAAAAGAAAAAAAAAUCAAUCAUUUAAUUAAAUUUUAAAAAUCACUUAUUAUUAUAUUUUUUUUAAAAAAAAUAAUUUACAAAUGAUUCUCUCAUAAAAAAAAAAUAUUUACAUUAAAAGUUUGUUUGAUAGUGAUUUUAGAAAUUAUUUUUAACAUUUUUAAUACUUAAGAGAUAAAAAAUUUAUAAGUGUUAAAAAAACUAAAAACAUUUCCUAAAGUUAUUAUCAACCACAUUAUAAGAGUGCAUUUAAGAAAAAUUUUAAAAAGCGAUUUUAGUACUUCUAAUACUUGAAUGAUAAAAAAUUUGAAAUAUUAAAAAUAUUAAAAAUGUUUCUUAAAAUUACUAUCAAACGGAUUCUAAAAACACUAAUAUAUUCAAGUACUAUUUAAAACUCCAUUUCAUGUGCUGCUCCACUUCUUGAGUUCAAUAAAUAGAAAAGAAAGGAGGUUUGAGUUAUAAACACUGAAAUAAAAAACUCUAAUACCAUAAGUCACUUAUCAGUUAGACAUAAAAUAUAUAGCAAUGAGUCAGCAUAAUAAAUCAAUCAGUGCUCAUGACUAGAAACAAUGCCUUAAUCUCAUUUGUCGCAUAGUGGUGAUUCUUCUAUACCCCACCAAACACUACAACUCAUCAUGGUCUUCGUCUUUCGUUUUUUCUCCGCAAGAAAAACUUUCCCAACUUCAAGUUCAACUUAAUGAUCAUAGAGAUGCCUUGCCUCAUGCUGUGCCCAGAAUACAAAAUCCCGCUUAUGUCUUACAUUUUGUGGUAGAAAAUGGCAUCAACAUCACACCACAUCAGUCUUGUUUCCACUACUGGAACAGAAUUUUCAGGCAGCCUCUAAAUACUGAUUUUUUCAAAGAUAGCUAGGUUCAUGUUCCAGGUCAGUUUCUGUGUUGUCAAUGAACAGUGGACCUCAGUGGUCUUCAAAAGUGUCACGGAGUUGGCUGCAAAGCAUGACCACUGUAACGUACAAUAUUAUCUGUAGGCCAUGGUUGCUUCCUCCAAGAAAAUUAUGUUAUGUCAUAAGUCACGGAUUUCGUUGCGAAGCUGCAAUAAUUCAAACUUACCUUUCUUUAAGACCAUGCUUGUGUCUACAUUCAUUUUCCCAAAUGUGUACGUUGAAUUUUUUGUCAUGUAGGGGCUGCGCACUUAAGGCAGAUAUCAAGUGAGUUAAAGAAUUAAUAAAUUAAGGUGACAUUUGAUAAAUUAAACUAAAAACUUAAUACUUAAUUGUUUAAGAUGAUUUUAAUAUGACUUUUACUAAACUUGAUGAGUUGAAAAUUAUUAUUAAAUCAUUAAGUUAAAUAUUAAAAUAGUUUUUUUAUUUUUUCAUUUACUUAUUACUUAUUUUUAAAAGAUUUUUACUAAAUAAAAAAUGAAAAUAUUCGUUUUUUUUUUACUAUAUAUUAAAAAUAACUUUUUAAAACAUUCAAAACAUGUUCUCAACAUGACUAUAAUUGCAUUAAUACUUAAUACUUAAUAAAAAUAAAAUAAUAAUAAAAACAAAGAAUUUAAUACUUAAUACUAUUAAUUGUAUUUAAAUUAACUUAUUUUUAUAUAUAGGUAAAAAACCAAAAGUAACAUUCGAAAGUAAAAACCAAAACACAAUUGAUUGUCUGAACACAUUUAUAAUGCAGUAGAACAGUUCUGUUGGCCAAUGAGAAAACGAAGGGAAAAACUAUGGUAGGGUAGCCAUCCAUGGAGUGGCCGAUAUGAAGGAGGGGAUAAAUCAAUCCAAACGUCCAUUAACACCUCCACAAACCACAUACACCAUCUGCCCAACAAGGCAACUUUAAGCAAUCCUCCUCCAUUAGAUGGCCAAACCAAUUCCUUCACCUCUCUAUGAAAAAAUCCCCCAGAAAAACACACUCCAUAGAGCCUCGGACGUCACCAUUUUCUUCCUUCUCCUCUCUCUCCUUGCUUACCGUCUCCUCUCCCUAAAAAACAAUGGCUUCACUUGGCUCCUCGCCUUCCUCUGCGAGUCAUGGUUCACCUUUAUUUGGAUUCUUAACUUGAGCUCCAAAUGGAAUCCUGUGUCCUACAAAACAUACCCUGAGCGCCUUCUACAAUGUUAUCGGUACCCAAUAAUUCUCUUAGUAAAAUUCUUCAUGUGCUUUGGUGUUUUUUUCUGUCUUCAAAUUUUAUAUAUGACUAUACUUAUGAUUUUCUGAACAGAGUUGAUGAGCUUCCUCCAGUGGACAUGUUUGUGACAGCUGCAGAUCCCAUGCUGGAACCCCCUAUCAUCACUGUAAAUACUGUCCUCUCCUUGCUAGCAGUUGACUAUCCAGCUAACAAGCUUUCUUGCUAUGUGUCCGAUGAUGGGGCUUCCCCUCUCACCUUCUUCGCUCUCCUUGAAGCAUCCAAGUUUGCUAAGCUUUGGGUUCCUUUCUGUAAGAAGUAUUGUAUUCAACCUAGAGCUCCCUUCAGAUACUUUUCCAGAGAGUUGUUACCAUCCCAUGGUAAUUCAAUGGAGUUCCUGCAAGAAUACAGAAAGAUAAAGGUACGCGCACUAUUCUUCGUAGGAAGUAGGAACCAUAAGUGGAGAUUAAUUACAUUAGUUCAACUUACUGCAAUUAUUUUUUUAUAUAAUAACAGUUAUUAGAAUGCAGAUGAUCUGAAACUAGAAUUUUCUUUUCCUUUAAUUUAUUAACUAUCUUUCUUUUUCUUUUUUUAUUCUUUUAUAUAUAUAAUCUCCUUAAAAAAUAAAAUAAAAUUCCACUAGCAAGUAGUUACGUGUCCAAGUAUAUCUCCUCUGCAUCAUGGUAUAAUGAUGCUUUACAUUUAAGCAAUUUUCUUUUUCUUCAUCCCCUUUUAGGAAGAAUAUGAAGAGCUUAGACGAAGAAUUGAAGAUGAAACCCUGAAGUCAAUAUCAAAUGAGCUUAGUACCGCAGAGUUUGUCGCUUUCUCAAAUAUAAAAAGGGGAAGCCAUCCAACUAUAAUCAAGGUAUGUUAAAAGAUACAACUAGCUGAUAUGUUUACUUAUUAUUACCAUUAUUAGGUCUAUUUGGAUUGAUUUCUCAUAUGCUAAAAAGCAAAUUUUUUAAGUUCACUGACAAAUUUUAUAAAUAUUUGAUAAAUUUUAUGCUUAUGGCUUAAGAAAGUGCUCAAUAUAAAAGUCUUGAAAAUGUCAUAUUCUUUGUUUAAUAAAAACUUUACGAUAUCAAUAUUACUUUUAAAAAAUUAUAAUCUUAGGUUUAAUUUUAUGUUGCAUAUAAAGAUAAAAACAAACAACCUCAGACAGGUUCUCAAUUAUUACAUAAUAAGGGACACUAAAGCUAAUUAUAUGAGAUUAAAAUGAUAGUAUAAAGCUAUUUGUUUUUGCCUUUUUCUAUAUUAUAGGUCAUAUGCAAUGAAAAUAGGAAUUAUGUCAUGAUUCAAAACAAAGAAGAGGGUUAGAAAAUACACAGGAUUUCCAACAAGAAAUUUAAAGAGAAGGAACCAAAAACUUGUUAGUUCAUAAUAAGCUUAAAUCCGACCAUGUAGGCGGUACAAAAUAAAAAACAUAAACUUAAAAACAAAACUUAAUUAAAACCGACCAUGUAGGCGGUACAAGAACAUAAAAUGAAAAACAAAACUUAAAAAACCAUCCAUAUAAGAGGUAAUCAAAACAUACUUAUAUUAUACAUAAGGAGAAAUAUCUUACAAUGGACAGGGGUAGGAAAGCUUGAAGAAAGCUUGAAAGCUUGAAGGGCUUACAUGAUGAGAGAGAAAGAAAAGAGAAUGGAGAACAUAAGCUUGGGAGAGAAACAGAAUUAAAAUGAAGCGUGCUUACAAAUGAGGACCGAGCCUCCUUAAAUAGGC
rnacentral:lncRNA from 1 species